AAAAGUAGGAGCCGGCUCCGUGAUAUCUGGGUAGGUCCUCAGGCUUGAGCAACCACACAAAUCAAGCUUCCUCAACUUCAAAUUGAAAAUGGUGCUUGGAAAAGUUUGAAGUGAAUUACAGUGGGUAAGGUCUAACUUGCAUAGUCCGGUGAGGCUUCCAAUGGAAGAUGGAAUAAUCUCAAGAUUCAAGCAACGGUGCAAACUCAGUUCUUCAAGCCCUACCAAACGUGUCCAAGAUGAAGGUAGUGCCUGUAUGGCUGUGUCGUCUAAGAUGAGCACCGUUAAAUCUUCCAACGUGUCCUGAAUCUCGGGUAAAUUUUCCAAUUUUGAGCAACCCCGGAGAGAAAGUUGCUUUAGGAAUUUCAUAUCAGAAAGAUGAAAUGGAAAGAUUGUAAGAGAAGAACAGUGAGAGAGAUCUAAGCGAUAGAACUGCUUGCGACUAAAGGUUAAGGACACACCUUCCUUGAGUUUUGUGAACACUUUUAAGUGUAUGGUAUUAUUAGCCACUUCUUCUUCCUUAUAUCUGUCAAAAGUAAUUGAGAAAAUUUGACUGGAAGUUGGGAAAAGACCAUGGCGUCGACGUUUACGACGCCGUCGUGAGAAAUUGAUCUCUUUCAUCAUAUCCGGUUCCAGACGAGGGAAUCUUGAGAAAGUUUGACGUUGACGCUCGAGUAUGACAUGAGGGAAUCUGGGUUCACUGGUUGAAAACAUAUUAAGCUUCGGACAACGGGAAAUAUUAAUCCAUCCUGGUGAUGUGGAUAAAAUGUUGCUGGGAAUAUUUACACUUUCGAGAUUAGAACAAUUAUCUAAACAUAAAUAACUGAGCUUGGUGAGGAAUAUCGAGGAGUGAACUUCAAUCAACUUUUCACAAGAACUCAGAAUUAUUUCUUCAAUAUUUGGUGACAUAGAAAGGUCUGGUAUUCUAGUAAGUUUCAGAGAACCAGUCAGGUCGACCCUUUUCAACUUGGGUAAAUUCUGCCACAAAUACUAAAUGAAUGAGGUAACAAAUAAAAACUACUUUAUCUAUUUUUCUUCGGUAAACUAAUUUAUUUUUCAGAAAUGAUGAAAAUUAUAACUAAACUAUAUAAAAUUCCAUUUUAUUCUACUCAUCCUUAAUUUUUUUGUGAAAUCUUGAUUUUGGGAUAAUAUCACUUAAACUUAAGAAAUAUUUGGCAUUAAUGAACUCUAAACAAAUUCAUAUAAGAUAUACAUCACUUUCAAUCCAAAAUCUUAAACUAAUAGGUUUAUGAAUUUUCUUUAUAUGUUGUUUUAAAAAGUUGAGACUAAAUUGAACUUUUGAAAAUUGGGAGGAUGAAAUUAUAUUUUGUCUAUUAAUAUAGGGAUUAAAAAAAUAAUUGAAUCAAAUAUUACUAUUUUUGUGAUGUAUAUUUAUAUAUAAAUAAUUUUGAGAAUUUAGAGUUAUAUCAUAUAUAUAUAUAUAUAUAAAAUUCUUUUUGGUAAUGUAUCCUGUAAUUGUAAGCAAGUAUGAUUAUAUUAAGUGGGUGCGUUUCAAAUAGAGGAGACUACGCACAUACAAAUAUCUCUUAUAAAGUAAGAAAACAAACAAACCGUUACUCAAGAAGAUCAUGUAAUGCAUGACAGACAACAUGGGGAGAUAUCUAUCAUCAAUAAUAAAACGAUGUUUUCUGAGAGUUAAAAUUAAACCUUAUUUAAAAUAAGUCCAUCUUUCCAUAUUUUAUAAUUUGUUGUAUAUUAUAUUGAAGUUUAUGUUAUAAUAAAAAAAAUGACUUAAUUAAUCAAAUAAUGUGGAGAAGGCACAAAGGAAUUGCAAAUGAAAACCAGUAGAUGUAUAAUACAGAAAACAUGCUUGUAUAACUUAUUUUUGUCUUUGAAAGUUUAGAACACAAAGAAACAUAGAUAGCUUGAAAAACCUGAUCUCCUUCCCAAAGUUGUUCAAGAUUGCAGCCUGGCAUUUUGAGGGUCACUAGACUUUGUGGGCAAAAGUUUGGAGGCCAAAAUCUUUGAAGGAAAUUGUCCCAAUAAAGAAUCUUUAAAGUGUCCGGCAGAUCUACAAGAGAUGAUUCAAGAGACUCAUAAGAUUGUCCAUCUUUUCGAAACUUUGUGCAUGUACUACAGCAUCUUUUACUUUGUUCGUAUGUAGUAAUAUACACUGUAUUGCAUCUGACCCCUGAAAGUAAAUCAAUGUAAUUAGAAGAAAAAAACAUGAAAUGUUGCAUUGCAGGAUGUUUGAUGACAGCUCAGUGGUUUGCAAUUUUUCACAAAGUAAAUCCAUGUUCAAUUGAGUAACGACAUAAUACCUUGUUCUUUCUUAAAACCUCUCAAAUUUCCUCAGCAUUAAACAAUCGGCUGCGUUUUCCAGGAUGCUGAGGACACUCUUUACGAACAAUUUCUUGACUCAUUUCUUGUAUUAGAUCGUGCAUCACAAUUCUACCAUCAAAGACAGAUAUUAGGCCCCUAUCUUUGAGAAUAUCCAUUCCAAUCUUAGAAGAGAAACCACAGUCAGCAAGUGUUUCUGCUACCACAAUCUCCUGGCGUCCUCUAUAAAAGCAAGCUAUGUCAAGAAAUAUAUUCUUCUCCUCCUCCUCCAGCCCAUCAUAACUUAAUUUUAAUACAUUGAAAAUAUCAAGAUGUUGGCCCUUUUCCAACUUUUGCAACUGACUCUCCCAUGCUUCUCUUGUUCUGCCAUAAAGCAAUGACCCCAAAAUCUAGAGAGCUAAUGGAAUCCCUUUUGCAUAUCUCAACACCUUUUCUGACAGUUCCCUGUAAGCAAUUUCUUCUGAAGAUUUUUGUUUAAAAGCAAGUAAACUAAAAAGUUUCUGAGAAUCAUCAAAAUUCAACUCCUUAACUUCGUAGAUAUCAUCAGCUCUAGCAUUCUUAAGCACUUGUUUGUCUCUACUGGUGAUAAUCAUUCUACUGCCCUGCCCAAAACUAUCACUCCCUCCUAUUAAUUUUUUAAGUAGAGCUGAAUCGGUAACAUCAUCAAGAAUGAGGAGAGCCUUUGUCCGUUUCAGCCUUUCAUUGUAAUAUGAUAAACCAUGGGAUUUCUUUAUCUCUUCCUUUAGAAGCUCAGACAGAUAUUUUGUUCUGAUACUGUCUAUUCCAUCUUUUUGUAUUUUUUCUUGAACGUCUAAAACAAGGCUGCUGGAACCAAACUGCAAAGCCAAUGUGUGAUAUAUUUGAUAACAAAUUGUAGUUUUUCCUAUUCCUCCCAUGCCACAAAUUCCUAUGAUCCGAACAUGCGGUGACUCAAGAUGCAACAAGGACUGAAUUCCUUCAAUGUGUUUUUCAAUGCCGAUGAUUCCUUGAUCAUAACUGGUGGAAUAACGAUUCAAUUUUCUCAAAAUAUCUUCCACAAUUUCUUCAACAAGUGUGUGUUCUGGCCUGGCAGAUGAUUUAGAAAAUAAAGUAUAAGUAUUCAAGCACAAAAGCUAAACUAAACUAAAGAAAAAAUCAGAGUUAAGAGGAGUGAACAUCAUUGAAUAGAUUCACAUAUCGAUUCUAGUUUCGAGUUUUGGAUAAAAUAAAUAAAUUAAAAAGUUGAAGGUAAGUAUAGGACGUUAUCUUCGUAUAUUAGUUUGGUUGGUUUAGAAAUUGCAAAUCAAGAUGGCAAAAAUACUACAGUAACCGUUUGUGACUUCUGAUAAUAGGGAGCAGAUUUGUAGGUACAAAGUUAAGCUAUAACAUGUGAUAUGGUUCAGAUCCAUGACCGACUAAAAGAAAGACUUGAUUUAUGGUGAGAUGAACACAAUUUUAGUAAAUGAAAAGAAAUCCUGUUUAUCUCGAAAUUAUCUAAUAAAUAUAAUGACCUGGUGACUUUUGAAUCCCAGCCUGAAAGUCCAGCAGCUUCGGUGAGAGCAUCCUUCCAUCCUUGCGCUUUGACCAUGUCGUGCAUAAACCGCUGUUCAUGAUCAUCGAAUGAUUCUUUGUAUCUUUCUUCCUGCUUCCUAAUAGUUGAUGGAUCCACCUUGUAGAAAACAGGUAUCACAUCCCUUCCAAAUCUCUUCUUGCAUUCAAGUAUCUUACUGAGUUCAUUCAAGCACCAAGUGGAAGAUGCAUAGUUUUGGGAGAAAACGAUGACAUAAAUCUUUGAUUCUUCUAUUGCAGAGAGCAGUGCAGGUGAAAUUUCUUCGCCCCUGAGUAGUCUAUAAUCAAUAUAUGCUUCAAUGUUCUUCCUUUGCAGUGCUGCAUAAAGGUGGCUAAUGAAGUUGUCACGUGUGUCUUCGCCUCUGAAGCUGAGAAACACAUCAUGCCUUGUUAGAGAAGUAGACACGGCCAAUGAUGAAGGACUUUCUGACAUUGGAGUCAAUUUUCUCUCCUUUCUCUGCAAUUCUCAGGUCUCUUUCUUUGUACUGUUUCUACCACAAAUCUACUCUGCUGCUCUGGACUCAUUAUAAAACACAAGUCAACUUUUGAAAAAGUCUUUCAAUUUUCUUAACAUUCCUUUCACAGAUAUGUGUUCUGGUCAGACAUCGUAGUCAGCAGAAACUAAAGAAAAAGAAAAAUAUUAAUUUAAUAGAAUAGUCAACAAAUUGCAAAAUAAGUAUGGAAUCUAGAUUUAUAUCAUUAUCACGUGUGGAAACAUAGCUACGUCUUCUUAGAUAAAAUCCUUAUUUAAGUUUUAAUUGGGCCUUGUAGUGGGCUUUGUAAUCUGCUUUUCUUUUCUCCUAUAUUGCUUUAUAUAUACACCUCCACUUUUGCUUUCUACAUUUCAUUUUACAAAAUACAUUCUCUCAUUCUGUGUCAUUUAUCUUGCCUGAUUCCGUCCUCUCUUUAUCUUUUUCUCUCAUCCUCUUGCUUAUAAUUCUUUUGUUUUUAUUAAGAAAUACACUAUAAUUCUAAUUUAAUCAUAUACUAUAAUUAUGCUAAUCAUCAAUUAGUACUAUAUAUUAUUAAUGAUCUGCGUAUAUAUUAUUUAUGAUUUGCGGAUAAGACAAUAGAUUCAAUAAAUUCUAGAUAAAAUAAAUUUUAAAUGAAUAUGAUAAAAAUAUAUUAAAAAAUGAACUUUAUUGAAUCGAUUGAGUAUCUCUAUUUUAAAGACUUGUAAGAAUAAUAGGAAUAACAAUAUAUUAAUAUUAAUAUGUUUCUUAAUAAAUUUCAUACCCACUAUCUAUUUAUAAAUUAAUAUAUUAUAAAUAUCUAAUGAUGUCUUAUUUCUCUAACAUUUAAAAUUAAAUUUGUAGAUUCUACAAAACAUUACAUUUUGAUUUUAAUAUUUAUAAAAUAUUUUUUAUUCUCAUAUUUAAAAAACAAAACUUAGUUUGAGUGUAUUCCUUAGUUACUUACUACUCAUCACCAGCCGCCAACAGCGUGAUGGCUUCACUCUCCGUUCGCGCCACAACCACCUCUUAUCGGGCCUCCUUCCGGCCCAAGCCCACCUCGGGGCCCACCAGGGUCCGAAUGUCCCUCCGCGAUGACGGCCCCGCCAUCGCCGUCGUCGGCGUCACCGGCGCCGUUGGCGAGGAGUUCCUCUCCGACCGCGACUUCCCCUACCGUUCCAUCAAAAUGCUGGCCUCGCAGCUCUCCGCCGGCCGCCGCAUCAUCUUCGAGGACAGGGACUACGUCGUGGAGGAGCUCACAGCGGAUAGCUUCGACGGCGUCGACAUUGCGCUCUUUAGCGCCGGCGGUGGUAGACUAUAGCUCCGCAUUUGGGAUGGACGAGAAGGUGACGCUGGUUAUUCCCGAAGUGAAGCCCCAAACGAUGCAACACAUCAAAGUUGGAACGGGAAAAGGCGCUCUGAUUGCGAACCCUAAUUGCUCCACCAUUAUUUGCUUGAUGGACAUACUAAUUAAUAUCAAUUAUAACAAAUAAUGAACGUUUCUGGUCAUUUCUUGUACUUCGCGUUAUUUCAUAACAGUAGUUUUUUUAAAUAAAUUAAGAAAAAUAUUCAUUUUUAAAUUUAAUGCACUUUUAAAUAAUUUGACUAUUAUAAACAUAAUCACUUAUAAAAAUAAUUUUAGAGUAGUUGAUAUAAUUAAAAUAAAAUAUUUUAUUAUUAAAGUAAAAAUUAUAUAUAAAUAAAAAAUAGGUUUUAUUUUAAAAUAAUAUUCAAUUUUAUAAAAGUUUUUUCUUUUUGUCUUUUUUUUUUUAUAUUUCUAACCAUAUUUUUUCGUGAGGUUGAUAAUAGAAUCUCACUUUGGAUUUAUGGGAAUGAAUAAUGAAUUAGUUUUUAGUUUUCUAUUUAUCUAUAUAUAAAGGUGAUACGGUGACAAAUUCCAAAAUUUUAUUAUAAUGUUUGCUUUGUUGAUUGAAAUAGAUGUUAAUUGAUGAAAAAGAUUGAAAGUUUUAAACCCAAUACACCCCUCACGUCGAGGUUAGGUGGACUGAUAAGUUCAGCAAAAUCUCGUUAUGAUAGUUUUUAGAUGACUCUGAUACCACAAUAAAAAAUAAACUUUAAAUUUAACUCAACCUUACAAAACUAAUUUAUAAAGUGAGCUAUGUAUCCCUAGUCGAUGUAGAAUCUCUAACAAUGAUUUAAAUGAAUUGUUAUAUGCUUUAUGAAGUUUAACCUUUAUUUUUACUUGACAAAUUGGAUUUUAAUGAGGUAUAUAUGCUCUCAGCAUCAAAUCCGCUUAACGAAAUUUAUAUGUGUCAAGCGAAUUUGGACAUGUAGAGUUUGAUGUGCUCUUGGCCUCAAAUCCGCUCAAUGUUUUUUUUUCCUGUACUUAAGCAAACUUACAUCCAGAUUUUGGAGUACUUUCGAACUCAAAUUUGCUCAAAGAAAUUUUCUUAUGGUAAGCAAAUUUAAGCGGCUAUUGUUUGGAUGUUCUCUGCCUCAAAUUCGUUCAGUGAAAUUUUCCUGUGCUAAGGAGAUUUCUCUGGGCUUAAGCCCCAACUUCAUGGGCUCGACCCAUUUUGACGACAUUUGUCAUCUUUGCUUAGAUAUCUUUUGGUUUGUUUUCUAUAGGUCAUGAAAUUGAAUUAAAUCUUUUGAAAUUUAUCAUUUUGUAAAUUGUAAGUGAUUACAACUUUCUAAUGUUCAUGCAACAUGUGUUUAAAAUAAGUAAAUCUAACAAAUAAAUACUCGUUACAUAUUCAAUGGAAAGCUUUUUCUUUUAAUUCUUUGGUGUUUUAUUUUGAUGAUGUAUAUAUUUGAAAAUCAAUGUAUGAAUGGAUAAUGCUUUAUGAUAUAAUAAUAUUACAAUGUAAAUGUUAUUUAUAUACUAUCACAUGAUAAAUUAAAAUUUAAUAAGAUAGUUAAGGAUGUUAUAAUUAUUCUUUUAAUUUAUUUUAUUUCACUGUAUAUUUAGGUGUAUUACGUAGAAUGUAUAGUUAAAAAAAUAAUGUUAUUUUGAAAUUUAAAGAAUGACGUAUAGAAAUAAACAAGCUUUUGUUAAAAUUAUACUAUUUGAAAAGGAACACAGAACAAUAUUGACAAUUAUACUUUUACUUAUUACUUAUUUUAAUUUAUUAUAUUCAUGAGUAUUAUUUUUUUUAAACAUAGAUAUUGGAUAAAAAAUAUAAAUAACAUUUAUUUAUUUCAAAUUUAAAAAUCUUUAAAAUAAAAUUAAAUAAUAUUUUUAAUUAAGAUGUGUUUUUUAACAAUUUUUUUAAUUUAAAAAAUAAUUAAUUCGGAGGAUGAUUAAAGAAAUAUUAACAAAUUAUUUCUGCGUUUAUAAUAAACCUUCAAUAAUAUUUGUACUUUCUAGCAUAUAGAAUACUUAAUGGAUCCCUUUGUGAUUUUUCUUUUCUAAAGUGCAAUUGAUAUUUUAAAUGUUUUUCUAUUUAAUUUUCCUUUCUUAAUGACACAUUAAAGGGUUCAGUGCACGAUUAAUUAUUCUCACCUUAGAUUUCAUUCAUCUCAUUCCAUUUCCACACUCAAAUCAUUCUCACAUUUUUUUCUACCUAUUUCACAAAGUUUUAUGUAAAAUAUGGAAAUUAAACUAAAAGAACCCUACUUAUAUAUUAAUAUUCAACAACUUAAAAUAUUACUAUGCAAAUUAAUCUUUCUUAAUAAUGUUAUGUAAAAAUUAAAAUGUAGUUUAGUCAUUCAUACUUAGAUGGAUAAAGAUGGUUUUAGAAAAAAAAUGCAUUUUAUUUCAAAUCUAUUACUUAUAAAAUGAGUUAUAAAAUGAGGUUUGUGAUAUUUAUUCAAAAUUUAAAUUAUAUUAUGCAUUUAUGGUUUUAUGUUUUUAAAGAAAUCAGAAACUUAGAAAAGCUCCUAAAAACUACUGAAAUCCAUAAGAUGAUAAUUAAUAAACAUCCUCUCUUAAUAACAUAACAUAUAAGAUAGGAGUCUUUACACUUAUAUUCUUCAAACAAUUAUAAGCUGUCUUCAACUUUACUGUUAAACUACAAUUAUAAAGAAUUAACAAUCUCACACACCAACAACAUUUAUAAGCCAUCACUCACAUGAAACAAGGUGCCUCAAUGUGAAAAAACCAAGAUCAAUAAGAAAUGAGGUUCCACUUAACCAAGCUGAGAAUUUUCUGGUUUUCCAACUCCAUGCACAAACCUAAUACAAUGAUAUGAUAUUCAAUCAGCAUUAAUUGGCAUAAACAGGUACAUUGUUGUAAAACUGGGAUUAUAAGGUUCCAUAGGAUGGAGAAAAGUAAGAAGAGGAUUUACCAAUUACCCUUUCAAAUGGAGCUCCUCAGGAUUUCAUAAUGCCUUCACUGCAAAUGCAACCCAAAUAUGCUAAAAAAGUUAAUGAAACUAUAUAUGAAGAGUUUCAAGAAAAUGCAACUCUGGGACAACAGAGAAACCCAUCUCAUGCUGAACAGAAACAUCAAACUAUAUCUAACAAUAACUUAGAAAUCUUUGUCAACAAUUGAACGAACCCACUCCUAAAAUGCCAUUGAAAAUGUAAAUAAAACAAAAUAAAUUAAAAACGAGAAAUUCAUAAUAAAAAUUCAACGUGUUGAAACUUAUGAUAACUCAGUUUAGAUCCUGACCAAUGAAAGACUAAUUAGCAGAAGAGGAAGAGACUAGUUGACAGGGUAGCUUUCGGCCUUUCUCUUCCUAUCUUUCCUUGUUUCUCUUGAAGACUGUGCAACAUUGCUUCCACUGGAUUCUUCAAUGUCAACAUCACCACCAUAUUUAUCAUCUUUCUUUUUGGUAUAAAGGGGGCAUAUGCCGCAUUCUUUUAUUGUGAUGUCUGAUGCCAUCACUCUCACACCUGAUUUGUAACUAUACAGACUGAUCUCAAAAGUGAAGCUGCGAGCAUCACAGACCCUAAGGCUCUUGCGGCUCGCCGUUAGGGACUCCAUGUUAAAUUUCCACACGAAUGUGUGAUCUUCAUCAACACAUCUGUGUUCACCAUUCCAUUUGAAAUAGCUGUUUAACACAUCAUUAUUUAGAAUGAUCUGUGUGCCAUCAUCAUCAUCAGAUUCAAAUUUUAGACUGUAACCAAAAGAACCAUAUCUACAUUUAACAGCUUUCGUAUCUAACACUCCAAAAACCACACACAAAGCGAAACCAGUGAGCCUAUCAUCGCUGCAGAAACUUAAAUCUUCAUUUAUAGUCACUGAAUGUCCCUUCCCACGAGAAUGGAACCAACGAGGAACUGCAUUCCCUGGAAAACAGAAGAACACAGACCUAUAUGCAUCGUCGGUCAUCCUAACCCAUGCAUCCUCCUCAAUGUUAGCACGAGCACCUGAAUCCAGUUGCUGAGCAUUGGUGAAAUGAAAUUUGAAGACACCCUCUUUGGAGUUUGAGAAGUUUGGAACAAGAGAAUUUGACAUCACUCUUCUGAUGGAUGGGCAAUCCAAUGCCACGAGUUGUUUUAGAAAUGGUGGAAUCUGUGGGAUGGAUUCAAGUUUUUUGCAGUCGCUUAAAUCGAGCGAGUUCAAGCUUGAAAGAUGAGCAAUGCUCUCAGGAAGGUUCACGAUUCCGCUAUCACGCAGUGACAGUUCCAUUAAUGACGUCAAGCGACCGAUGUGGCUUGGGAUUUCUGUUAAUUUGGCACACCCCGAACAAUCAAGUUUAGAGAGAAGCUUCAGAUUAACAAUGGAGUUUGGAAGUGACUCGAGAUGAAUGCACUCUUGGAGUUCCAGGGAUCGAAGAUUAACGAAAUUGCCAAAUGAGGAAGGCAGUUCUUUAACAGCCGUAGAUGUUAAGUUAAUGUGAGCAAAAGUAUGAGCCGGCUCCGCGAUCUCUGGGAAGGUCCUCAGCCUUGAGCAACCACGCAAAUCAAGGUUCCUCAACUUCAAAUUGAAAAUGGUGCUUGGAAAAGUUUGAAGUGAAUUACAGUGGGUAAGGUCUAACUUGCAUAGUCUGGUGAGGGUUCCAAUGGAAGAUGGAAUAAUCUCAAGAUUCAAGCAACUGCGCAAACUCAGUCCUUGAAGCCCUACCAAACGGCACAAGGAUGAAGGUAGUGCCUGUAUGGCUGUGCCGUCUAAGAUGAGCACCACUAGAUCUUCCAACGUGUCCUGAAUCUCGGGUAAAUUUUCCAAUUUUGAGCAACCACUGAGAGAAAGUUUCUUUAUGAAUUUCAUAUCAGAAAGGUGAAAUGGAAAGAUUGUAAGGGAAGAACAGUGAGAGAGAUCUAAGUAACAGAGCUUCUUGCGAUUAAAGUUGAAGUGACAGAGCUUCAUGAGUUUUGUGAACACUUUAAAACAUAUAGUAUCAUUAGCCACUUCUUCUUCCUUAUAUCUGUCAAAAGUAAUUGAGAAAAUUUCACUGGAAGUUGGGAAAAAAGGACCACGGUGUCGACGUUUACCACGCCGUCCUGAGAAAUUCGUCAUAUCCGGUUCCUGACGAGGGAAUAUUGAGAAAGUUUGAAGUUGACGCUCCAGUAUCACAUGAGGGAAUCUGGGUUUACUGAUCGAAAACAUAUUAAGCUUCGGACAACGGGAAAGAGUAAUCCAUCCUGGUGAUGUGGAUAAAAUGUUGCUGGGAAUAUUUACACUAUUCAGAUCAUUACAAUCAUCUAAACAUAAACAACUGAGCUUGUUGAGGAAUAUCCAAGAGUGAACUUCAAUCAACUUUUCACAACUUUUCAGAAUUAUUUCUUCAAUAUUUGGUGACAUAGAAAGGUCUGGUAUUCUAGUAAGUUUCCGAGAAUAACUCAGGUCGAGCCUUUUCAAGUUGGGUAAAUUCUGCCACAAAUAGGAAAUGAAUGAGGUAACAAAUAAAAACUACUUUAUCUAUUUUUCUUCGGUAAAAUAUUAGCUACAUCAUCUAAUCUAUUCACUUUAUAUUUUACAUUACUUCAAAACCACUGUUAAAAAAAAUCACACUGUCAACUAACAAAACUGUGGCUAUAAAUUUAAUAGUUAUUAUAAAAAACCACAAAAUUUAACGUGUUUUUGUUCCCUACCUCAAAUUACAUCCUAAUAAUUUGAACCUAAACUUAUUAUGUAUUUAAAAACUGAUGAUAGUAAUUUAUAAUCGAUGACAGUGUGGAAAUACUUUAUAUCAUGCAUGUAUCAACUGACAAAAUAAAAUGGUGUUGUCUGAUGAUAGUAAUUUAUAAUCGAUGACCAUCUUUCCAUAAUUUAUUUUAUUAAAUACAUAAUUUGUUGUAUAUUAUAUUGAAGUUUAUGUUAUAAUAAUAAAAAAAUACUUAAUUAGGUUUUGAGUAUCCAGUAAGACAUUUUUAAUUAAUUUUUUUAUUAAAUUUUUUAAUUAUUUAAGUACUCAAAUUUUUUAUAUUUCCAAUAGAAUAUAUGUCAUUUUUAAUUUUUGAGUUAAUUGGGUGAUACAGAAAUUAUCUUGUCACAUGAUCUUACUUACUUGUCUUUAUGUAUUAAGGAAUAUGAAGUUUUAUGAUUGGCCAUUAGACUAUAUACCUAAAAAGAGGAUGCAAACUCUUCUACAUGCUACUAAAUUUAUAACUAUCUUUAAUUAGAAACAUGCUGAGUAUGAUUCUUAUGAUAUAUGUAUAACUGUGUGGUUCAAAUAAAAGAAAUUUCAAAUCGAAUAAUGUGGAGAAGCACAAAGGAAUUGCAAAUGAAAACCAGUAGAUGUAUAAUACAGAAAACAUGCUUGUAUAACUUAUUUUUGUCUUUGAAAGUUUAGAACACAAAGAAACAUAGAUAGCUUGAAAAACCUGAUCUCCUUCCCAGAGUUGUUCAAGAUGGCAGUAUGGCAUUUCGAGGGUCACUAGAUUUUGCGGGCAAAAGUUUGGAGGCAAAGAUCUUUGAGGGAAAUGUUUCCAAUAAAGAAUCUUUAGAGUGUCUGGCAGACCUACAAUAGAUGAUUCAAGAGACACAUUUGACGUGUAUUUUGGCGUGUUGAGCAUAAGCAUCCUAAGAUUGUCCAUCUUUUCGAAACUUUGUGCAUGUACUACAACUUCAUUUACUUUGCUCGUAUCUAGUGAUAUACACUGUAUUGCAUCUAACCCCUGAAAGUAAAUCAAUGUAAUUAGAAAAAAAAAGCAUGAAAUGUUGCUGUAUGGUUAUGGGCAGAUUGAUGAGAUAUGGUAACCUUCGGAUACUGAUCAUGAAGUGACAUAAAGGAGAAGGAAGCGUUACUGAAGGAGAGUAAUGGAAAUUUAUGAGAAAUUAAGCCGUUGGUUACAGAGACUAGGUAGGGACCGAGUCAUCUAUACCAGGGACCGAGUCAUCUAUAAGAGGAGGCAGAGACGAAGAGUAGGGGUAGGAAAAAAAGAUAUGGUUUUUAUAUUAUCUUUGAUGCUCUAGCUAAGGAUCAUCUGUCCUAAAACAGUUGCAUUUCUGGAUGUUUAAUGACAGCUCAAUAGUUUGCAGUUUUUUCACAAAGUAACAACAGAAUAUACCUUGUUUUUUCUUAAAACAUCACAAAUUUCCUCAGCAUUAAACAGUCGGCUGCGUUUUCCAGGAUGCCGACGACACUCUUUACGAACAAUUUCUUGACCCAUUUCUUGUAUUAGAUCGUGCAUCAUAAUAAUACCAUUAAAGACAGAUAUUAGGCACCUAUCUUUGAGAACAUCCAUUACAAUCUUAGUAGAGAAACCAUUGCAGUCAUCAAGUAUUUCUGCCAGCACAAUCUCCUGGUAUCCUCUAUAAAAGCAAGCAAUGUCAAGAAAUAUAUUCUUCUCCACCUCCUCGAGCCCAUCAUAACUUAAUUUUAAUACAUUGAAAAUACCAUGAUGUUGGCCCUUUUUCAACUUUUGCAACUGACUUUCCCAUGCUUCUUUUGUUCUGUCACAAAGCAAUGAGCCCAAAAUCUGGAGAGCUAACGGAAUCCCUUUUGCAUAACUCAACACCUUUCCUGACAGUUCCUUGUAAGCAAUUUCUUCUGAAGAUUUUUGUUUAAAAGCAUGUAAACUAAAAAGUCUUAGAGAAUCAUCAGAAUUCAACUCCUUAACUUCGUAGAUAUCAUCAGCUCUAGCAUUCUUAAGCACUUGUCUGUCUCUACUGGUCAUAAUGAUUCUACUGCCCUGCCUAAAACUAUCACUCCAUCCUAUUAAUUUUUGAAGUUGAGCUGAAUCGGUAACAUCAUCAAGAAUGAGGAGAGCCUUUGUCCGUUUGAGCCUUUCUUUGUAAUAUGGUAAAGAAGAAGAUUUCUCUUCCUUUAGAAGCUCAGACAGAUAUUUUGUUCUGAUACUAUCUAUUCCAUCUCUUUGUAUUUUUUCUUGAACGUCUAAAACAAGGCUGCUGGAAUCAAACUGCAAUGCCAAUUUCUGAUAUAUUUGAUCACAAAUUGUACUUUUUCCUAUUCCUCCCAUGCCCCAAAUUCCUAUGAUCCGAACAUCCGGUGACUCAGGAUGCAACAAGGACUGAAUUCCUUCAAUAUGUUUUUGAAUGCCGAUGAUUCCUUGAUCAUAACUGGUGGAAUAAAGAUUCAAUUUUCCCAAAAUAUCUUCCACAAUUUUUUCAACAAGUUUGUGGUCAUUCCUGGCAGAUGAUUUAGAAAAUAAAGUAUAAGAAUUCAAGCACAAAAGCUAAACUAAACUAAAGAAAAAUUCAGAGUCAAGAGGAGUGAACAUCAUUGAAUAGAUUCACAUAUCGAUUCUAGUUUCGAGUUCUGGAUAAAAUAAAUAAAUUAAAAAGUUGAAGGUAAGUUUAGGACGUUAUCUUCCUAUAUUAGUUUGGUUGGUUUAGUAAUUGCAAAUCAAGAUCGCAGAAAUUCUACAGUAACCGUAUGUGACUUCUGAUAAUAGGGAGCAGAUUUGUAGGUACAAAGUUAAGCUAUAACAUGUGAUAUGGUUCAGAUCCAUGACCGACUAAGAGAAAUGAAAAAAGAAACACUUGAUUUAUGGUGAGAUGAACACAAUUUUAGUAAAUGAAAAGAGAUCCUGAUUAUCUAAUAAAUAUAAUGACCUGGUGACUUUUGAAUCCCAGCCUGCAAGUUCAGCAGCUUCGGUUAGAGCAUCCUUCCAUCCUUGCACUCUGUCCAUGUCGUGCUUAAGCCGCUGUUCAUGCUCAUCAAAUGCUUCUUUGAAUCUUUGUUCCUGCUUCCUAAUAGUUGAUGGAUCCACCUUGUAGAAAACAGGUAUCACAUCCCUUCCAUAUCUCUUCUUGCAUUCAAGUAUCUUAGUGAGUUCAUUCAAGCACCAAGUGGAAGAUGCAUAGUUUUGGGAGAAAACGAUGACAUAAAUCUUUGAUUCUUCUAUUGCAGAGAGUAGUGCAGGUGAAAUUUCUUCGCCCCGGGGUAGUCUCUCGUCAAUAUAUGCUUGAAUGUUCUUCCUUUGCAGUGCUGCAUGAAGGUGACGAAUGAAGUUGUCACGUGUGUCUUCCCCUCUGAAGCUGAGAAACACAUCAUGCUUUGUUAGAGAAGCAGACACGGGGAAUGAUGAAGGACUUCCUGACAUUGGAAUCAAUUUUCUCUCUUUUCUCUUGCAACUCUCAGUGCCUUUGUUUGUACACAAAUCAACUCUUGGAAAAGUCUUUGAAUUUUCUCAAAAGUAUCUUUCACAGAUCACGCACGCGUGGAAACAUAGCUGUGUUAAAAUCCUUAUUUAAGUUUUAAUUGGGCCUUGUAGUGGGCUUUGUAAUGUGCUUUUCUUUUCUCCUACAUUGCUUUAUAUAUACACCUCAGCGUUUGCUUUCUACAUUUCAUUUUACAAAAUACAUUCUCUCAUUUUCUACCUUUUAUAUUGUCUGAUUCCGUUCUCUCUUUAUUUUUUUUCAAAUCUCUUUUGCUUACAAUUUUUUUUUCUUUUUUAAGAAAUGUACUUUUUCAAGUUUAAUUUAAUUUUAUAAAACAGUCAUCUUUCUACAGUAUUAUCAUCUCUUACGUGAGAUUAUUAUAUAUUAUUUGGUGAUCUAAGUAAACUUUUAAUCCAAUAAACUUUAAAAAUAAUUCUAAUACUAUAUUAAAAAAUGAAAUUUAAAUCUAAUUCUAUUUUAUAAAAUAUAUUUAUUCAAUGCUAAAAUAUCUCUAAUUGAGUAGGGAUGUUCAAAAUACUUAUUGGUUCUUGAUUUUCACUUUCACUUUUAAGGUUUUUCUUCGCAGACACGUAGUAAACAGAAAUACAAAAAUAUGAGUCAAUGGAAGAGUCUAACGAUUCGCAGAAUAUUAUGGUGUCUAGCUUUAUACCGCAUUAAUGCGAGGAGUUUCUUUAAUAUUUUUACUCAAUUUAUUUAUUUUUAAUUCUUUUUUUUUUCACACCUUUUACAAAUAAAGAAUCGUAUUUCUUUAAUAUAUUUUAGAAAAUAACCACUAAACCUUAUUAUAAAAUAUAUUUAUGAAAUGCACGUGUAAGAAUAACAGGAAAAAUAUUACUACGAAAAACAAUAUAUUAAUAUUAAUAUGUUUCUUAAUAAAUUUCAUACCCACUGUCUAUUUAUAAAUUAAUAUAAUAUAAAUAUCUUUAAUGAUGUUUUUGUGGGUAGCUUAUUUCUCUAACGCAGAAUAUUAUGGUGUCUACUUUUAUAAAACAUUACAUUUUGAUUUUAAUAUUUAUUAAAUAUUUUUUAUUUGGGAUGAAGUAACGAUGAUGAAUCGAAUGUGUUUUGAAGUCUGACAUAACUUUUAGAGAUGUUAUGAGAACGGUUAAUGACGGAAAUUAUCAAAAACCUUUUGGGGGAAGGUUGUGGUUUUGGGAGGUGAUUUCAGGUAAAUAUUGUUAGUGGUAAAAAAAGGAUUAAGAUAUGAUGUUGUGAAGUCAACAAUCAACUUUUCUCAUUUGUGGUUAAAUUGUCGAGUCUUAAAACUUUCUCAAGGAAAUCCAACACGAUCUAUUGAUUGAGCCCACAAAAACACCUUUGUUAUCAUUGGUGAAUUUUGUUUAUCCUAAUUUAUUGACUGAUAUGUUAUGUCCUGAGUACUUUGAGUAUGGAGCAAUACUUUGUCCGACAACUGAAUCAGUAGAGCAAGUGAAUGAUUUUAUUUUAUCUCUGUUAAGUGGUAAAUAAAUAAAUUAUCUUAGUUCGGAUACACCUUGCCAAUUAGAUUAAGAUCAAGAAUUUAAAGUGAAUGGUUCACUUCUGAGUUCUUAAAUGAGAUAAAAUGUUCAGAGAUACUAAAUCAUCGCCUUCAUUUGAAAAUUGGCGUGCCUAUUAUGCUUUUGAGAAAUAUUGAUCAAACCAACGGUCUUUGUAAUGGAACAAGGUUGCAAGUUAUUGAUUUGAAGAAAAUGUUAUUUGUGCAAUAGUUCUAACAGGAACAAAUAUUGGUGAUAAAAUCUUUAUUUCAAUAAUGAAUUUGAUCCCUUUAGAUGUAGGUAUGCCAUUCAAAUUCUAGAGAAGACAAUUUCCAAUAACUUUAUGUUUUGCAAUGACAAUUAAGAAAAGUCAAAGUCAAUUAUUGACCAAAGUUGGUUUAUAUUUUUCACGUCCAAUUUUCACACAUUGAUAGUUGGAUGUAGCUAUUUAUAGAGUUAGAAAGAAAAAAAUUUAAAAAUUCUAACUCUUGAUGAAGAUGGGAAUGCAACAAACAAGAAAAAGAAAAUGUUUACACUGAAACUUUUGACAAUAUUUAAAAACAAUAGAAUUAUAUGAUAAACUUGGAAUAAUGGCUAAUUCUCCCUGCACCCAAUAUUUUUGAACAUGCAACUUUUAAAUUUGCUCCCUUGUAAUUAUAUUUUCUUAUGUGUGAUGUAGUAACAGUUGCCUUAUUUAAAAUGUUACUAAAUAACAUAUCAUUUAUAUCUGUUAUUUUUAUUCUGUUCUGAUUUUAUAUAUAUGUUAACGAAGUUGAGAAUUUUCUGAUUUUACAGGUCCAUGCACAAACCUAAUAUAAUGAUAUGAUAUUCAAUAUCAAGAGGUACUUGUCGUAAAACGGGGAAUAUGAGAGACUCCAUAGAAUGAAGAAAAAGUAUAAAGAGGAUUUACAAAUUACCCUUUCAAAUGCAGCUCCUCAGAAUUUCUUAAUGCCUUCACUGCAAAUGCAACCCAAAUAAGCUAAAGAAGUUAAUCAAACUAUACAUUAAGAGUUUCAAGAAAAUGAAACUCUGGAACAACAGAGCAACCCAUCUCAUGCUCAAUAGAAACAUCAAACUAUAUCUAACAAUAACUUAGAAAUCUUUGUCAACAAUUGAACGAACCCACUCCUAAAAUGCCAUUGAAAAUGUAAAUAAAUAAAUAAAAAUUAAAAAUGAGAAUUCAUAAUAAAAUUUCAUCGUGUUGAAACUUGUAAUUUAGAAGUAUUACGAUAAGCCAGUUUUGAUCCUCGCGAAUGAAAGACUAAUUAGCAGAAAGACUGUGCAAAAUUCCUUCCACUGGAUUCUUCGAUGUCAACUGAUUUGGUAUAAAGAGGACAUAUGCCGCAUUCUUUUAUUGUGAUAACUGAUUUCAACUCUCUCACAAGUAAUUUGCGAUUUGACCGAUUUGGCCGCAGAAAGGGAUCAUCAUAAUCAUGCGAACUGAUCUCAAAAGUGAAGCUGCGAGCAUCACACAGCCUAAGGCUCAUGCCGCUUGCCCUUAGGGACUCCAAGUUAAAUUUCCACACCAAUGUGUGAUCUUUAUCAACACCUCUCUCUUCAUCAUCCCAUCUGAAAUAGUUGUUUAACACAUCAUUAUUUGGAAUUAUCCGUGUGCCAUGAUCAUCAGAUUCAAAUUUUAGGCUGUAACCAAAGGAACCAUAUCUACCUUUAACAACUUUCGUAUCUAACACUUCAAAAACCACACACAAAGCGAAACCACUGAGCCUAUCAUCGCUUAAAAAACUUAAAUCUUCAUUUAUAGUCACUGAAUGUCCCUUCCCACGAAAAUGGAACCAACCAGGAACUGCACUCCCUGGAAAACAGAAGAACACACACCUAUAUCUAUCGUCGGUCAUCCUAAGCCUUGCAUCCUCCUCAAUGUUAGCACGACCACCUGAAUCCAGUUGUUGAGCAUUGGUCAAAAGAAAUUUGAAGAAACCCUCUUUGGAAUUUGACAAGUUUGGAACAAGAGAAUUGGACAUCACUCUUCUAAUGGAUGGGCAAUCCAAUGCCACUAGUUUUUUUAGAAAUGGUGGAAUCUCUGGGAUGCAUUCAAGCUUUUUGCAGUCGCUUAAAUCAAGCGAUUUCAAGCUUGAAAGAUGAGCAACGCUCUCAGGAAGGUUCACAAUUCCGCUAUCACACAGUGACAGUUCCAUUAAUGACGUCAAGCGACCGAUAUCUCUAGGGAUUUCUGUUAAUCUGGCACACCCCGAACAAUCAAGUUUAGAGAGAAGCUUGAGAUUAACAAUGGAGUUUGGAAGUGACUCCAGAUCAGUGCAUUUGCGGAGCUCCAGGGAUCGAAGAUUAACCAAAUUGGCAAAUGAGGAAGGCAGUUCUUUAACAGCCGUACAUAUCAAGUUAAUGUGAUCAAAAGUAGGAGCCGGCUCUGUGAUCUCUGGGAAGGUCCUCAGACUUGAGCAACCACACAAAUCAAGGUUCCUCAACUUCAAAUUGAAAAUGGUGCUUGGAAAAGUUUGUAGUGAACUACAGUGGGUAAGGUCUAACUUGCAUAGUCUGGUGAGGCUUCCAAUGGAAGAUGGAAUAAUCUCAAGAUUGAAGCAACUGCACAAACUCAGUUGUUGAAGCCCUACCAAACGGCACAAGGAUGAAGGUAGUGCCUGUAUGGCUGUGUCGUCUAAGAUGAGCACCACUAGAUCUUCCAACGUGUCCUGAAUCUGGGGUAAAUUUUCCAAUUUUGAGCAACCACGGAGUGAAAGUUGCUUUAGGAACUUCAUAUCAGAAAGGUCAAAUGGAAAGAUUGUAAGGGAAGAACAGUGAGAGAGAUCUAAGUGACAGAGCCUCUUGAGAUUUUGAAAGUUUGAGGGUACACCUUCGAGUAUUGUCGACACUUCACAUUGUGAGUAUAUAGUAUUAUUACCCACUUCUUCUUCGUUAUAUCUGUCAAAACUAAUUGAGGAAAUUUCACUGGAAGUUGGGAAAAUACCUUUAGCAUUAUGGAAUUUAACAGUCCCUCCCAAAAGUAAACUUGAGAAAGUUGGACGUUGACCCUCCAGUUUCACAUGAAGGUAUCUGGGUUGACUGGUUGAAAACAUUUCAAGCUCCUCACAGUGAGAAAGAAUGAUCAAUCCUGGAGAUGUGGAUAAAAUCUUGUUGGGAAUAUUUACACUUUUGAGAUGAUAACAAUGAUCUAAACAUAAACAACUGAGCUUGCUGAGGAAUAUCGAAGAGUGAACUUUAAUCAACUUUUGACAAUAACUCAGAAUUAGUUCUUCAAUAUUCGGUGACAGAGAAAGGUCUGGUAUUCUAGUAAGUUUCAGAGAAUGACUCAGGUUGAGCCUUUUCAAGUUGGGUAAAUUCUGCCACAAAAAGUAAAUGAAUCAGGUAACAAUGAAAAACUAAAAUAAAGUUUUAUGCAAUUUUAUCUAUUUUUCUUCGGUAAACUAUGAGCUACAUCAUCUAUCGAGUUUAUAUUUUACAUAAAACCACUGUUAAAAAAAUCACACUGUUAACUAACAAAAUUAUGGUCACUAUAAAUUUUAUAGUUAUUAUAAAAAUUCACAAAAUUUAACGUGUUUUUGUUCUCUACCUAAAAUUACAUCCUAAUAAUUUGAACCUAAGCUUAUUAUGUAUUGAAAAACUUACUAUAGUAAUUUAUAAUCCAUGACAAUGUCGAAAUACUUUAUACUAUGCAUGUUAAAAUUUGAUAAAAUGUCGAAAUACUGACAAAAUAAAAAUGGUGUUUUCCGAGAGUUAAAAUUAAACUUUAGUUAAAAUAAGUCCAUCUUUACAUAUUUUAUAAUUUGUUGUAUAUUAUAUUGAAGUUGAUGUUAUAAUAAAAAAAUGACUUAAUUAAUCGAAAAAUGUGGAGAAAACACAAAGAAAUUGCAAAUGCUUGUAUAAUUUAUUUUUAUCUUUGAAAGUUUAAAAGACAAAGGAACAUAGAUAACUUGAAAAACCUGAUCUCCUUCCCAGAGUUGUUCAAGACGGCAGCCUGGCAUUUCGAGGAUCACUAGAUUUUGUGGGCAAAAGUUUGGAGGCCAAAAUCUUUGCGGGAAAUCUCUCCAAUAAAGAAACUUUAGAGUGUCUGGCAGACCUACGAGAGAUGAUUCAAGAGACACAUUUGAUAUGUAUUCAGUUGAGUAGAGUAAAAACGUCCAAAGAUCAUCCAACUCUUUACGAGACACAUCUGAUAUGUAUUUAGUUUUAUUUUGCUCGUAUCUAGUAAUAUACACUGUAUUGCAUCUGACCCCUGAAAGUAAAUCAAUGUAAUUAGAAGAAAAAAACAUGAAAUGUUGCAUUGCAGGAUGUUUGAUGACAGCUCAGUGGUUUGCAAUUUUUCACAAAGUAAAUUAAUGACAGGUCAGUAGUUAUAUACCUUAUUCUUUCUUAAAACCUCACAAAUUUCCUCAGCAUUAAACAAUCGGCUGCGUUUUCCAGGAUGCUGAGGACACUCUUUACGAACAAUUUCUUUACCCAUUUCUUCUAUUAGAUCGUGCAUCACAAUUCUACCAUCAAUGACAGAUAUUAGGCCCCUAUCUUUCAGAAUAUCCAUUCCAAUCUUAGAAGAGAAACCAAAGUCAUCAAGUCUUUCUGCUACCUCAAUCUCCUCGUGACCUCUAUAAAAGCAAGCUAUGUCAAGAAAUAUAUUCUUCUCCUCCUCCUCCAGCCCAUCAUAACUUAAUUUUAAUACAUUGAAAAUACCAAGAUGUUGGCCCUUUUUCAACUUUUGCAACUCACUCUCCCAUGCUUCUCUUGUUCUGCCAUAAAGCAAUGACCCCAAAAUCUGGAGAGCUAACGGAAUCCCUUUUGCAUAUCUCAACACCUUUUCUGACAGGUCCAUGUAAGAUUUUUCUGCUGAAGAUUUUUGUUUAAAAGCAUGUAAACUAAAAAGUUUAUGAGAAUCAUCAAAAUUCAACUCCUUAACCUCGUAGAUAUCAUCAGCUCCAGCAUUUCUAAGCACUUGUCUGUCUCUACUGGUCAUAAUGAUUCUACUGCCCUGCCCAAAACUACCACUCCCUCCUAUUAAUUUUUUAAGUAUAGCUGAAUCGGUAACAUCAUCAAGAAUGAGGAUAGCCUUUGUCCGUUUGAGCCUUUCAUUGUAAUAUGAUAAAUCAGGGGAUUUCUUUAUCUCUUCCUUUAGAAGCACAGACAGAUAUUUUCUUCUGAUACUGUCUAUUCCAUCUCUUUGUAUUUUUUCUUGAACGUCUAAAACAAGGCUGCUGGAAUCAAACUGCACUGCCAAUUUCUGAUAUAUUUGAUUACAAAUUGUAGUUUUUCCUAUUCCUCCCAUGCCACAAAUUCCUAUGAUCCGAACAUCCGUUGACUCAAGAUGCAACAAGGACUGAAUUCCUUCAAUAUUUUUUUCAAUGCCGAUGAUUCCUUGAUCAUAACUGGUGGAAUAACGAUUCAAUUUUCUCAAAAUAUCUUCCACAAUUUCUUCAACAAGUGCGUGUUCUGGCCUGGCAGAUGAUUUAGAAAAUAAAGUAUAAGUAUUCAAGCACAAAAGCUAAAGUAAACUAAAGAAAAAUUUUACAGUAACCGUUUGUGACUUCUGAUACUAGGGAGCAGACUUGUAGGUACAAAGUUAAACUAUAAGAUCAGAUAUGGUUCAGAUCCAUGACCGACUAAGAGAAAUGAAAAAAGAAACACUUGAUUUAUGGUGAGAUGAACACAAUUUUAGUAAAUGAAAAGAGAUCCUGAUUAUCUAACAAAUAUAAUGACCUGGUGACUUUUGAAUCCCAGCCUGCAAGUUUAGCAGCUUCAGUUAGAGCAUCCUUCCAUCCUUGCACUUUAUCGUGCUUAAGGUGCUGCUCAUGCUUUUCGAAUGCUUCAUUGUAUCUUUGUUCCUGCUUCCUAAUAGUUGAUGGAUCCACCUUGUAGAAAACAGGUAUGACAUCCCUUCCAAAUCUCUUCUUGCAUUCAAGUAUCUUAGUGAGUUCAUUCAAGCACCAAGUGGAAGAUGCAUAGUCUUGGGAGAAAACGAUGACAUAAAUCUUUGAUUCUUCUAUUGCAGAGAGGAGAGCAGGUGAAAUUUCUUCGCCCCUGUUUAAUCUGUAAUCAAUAUACGCUUCAAUGUUCUUCCUCUGCAGCGCUGCAUAAAGGUGACUAAUGAAGUUGUCACGUGUGUCUUCCCCUCUGAAGCUGAGAAACACAUCAUGCUUUGUUAGAGAAGUAGACACGGGGAAUGAUGAAGAACUUCCUGACAUUGGAAUCAAUUUUCUCUCCUUUCUCUGCAAAUCUCAGAUUCCUUUGUUUGUACCAUUUCUACCUGAAGAAGUGUUUAAAUUUUCUCAAAAUACCUUGCACAGCGUGUUCUGGUCAGACAUAAAGAAAAAGACAAAUAUUAAGUUAAUAGAAUAGUCAACAAUUUAAAAAAUAAGUAUGAAAUAUAGAUAUAUAUCAUUAUCACGUGUGGAAGCUACGUCGUCUUGUAUUGGAUUUUCUAAUCUGCCUUUUAUCUUGUCUCAUUCUUCUUUAUCUUUUUUCUCUCAUCUCUCUUGCUUACGAUUUCUUUGCCUUUAUUCAGAAAUUUUAUUUAUAAUAAACCUUCAAUAAUAUUUGUACUUUCUAGCAUAUAGAAUACUUAAUGGAUCCUUUUCUGAUUUUUCUUUUCUAAAGUGCAAUUGAUAUUUUAAAUGUUUUUCUAUUUAAUUUUCCUUUCUUAAUGACACAUAAAAUGGUUCAGUGCACAAUUAAUUACUCUCACCUUAGAUUUCAUUCAUCUCAUUCCAUUUCCACACUCAAAUCAUUCUCACAUUUGUUUCUACCUGUUUCACAAAGUUUUAGUUAAAAUAUGGAAAUUAAUGUUCAAGAACCCUACUUAAUAUUAAUAUUCAACAAUUUAAAAUAUUAAAAUGCAAAUUAAUCUUUCUUAAUAAUGUCAUUUUUAUGUAAAAAAUAAAAUGUAGUUUAGUCAUUUAUACUUAGAUGGAUAAAGAUGGUUUUAGAAAAAAAAAUGCAUUUUAUUUCAAAGGUUAUCUAAGCUCUGAACUCAUUUAUGAAUUAAUAAUAAUAAAUAAUAUGUAAUUGUAUUCCAAUACCAUAUAAUUUUUUUUAUUGGGUGCGUUUCUGAUGAAUUAAUUAAUGCACUCUAGGGACAAUGAUCGCUCUAGUAUUUGAUUUUUUUAUUUAUUUUAAUGUUGAAAUUAUAGCUAUUUAGUACAGAUACUAUUGACACCGACACAGAUACGACACAGACACAGAGAUACUUAAAAUCUCUAAAAUGUAAGAUACAGAGACAUUAAUCUAUAUAUUAUAUAAUUAUGAAUUAUAUAAAUUAACAAUAAAGACUUAUGUGCACAAGUAUUUUGGAGAUUAUUUUUUAAGCAGAAAUAUGUUUUUCAUGACUGUUUCACAAAGAUUUGUUUCUUAUUUUUAUAAUCAUAAUAACAAUUUAUACCAUAAAGUUUGAAUUUUAGAAAAUUAAUGUAUUUUUUCUUUUUAAAAUUCCGUUAGAAUCGUACUAAAAUUGUAAAAAAUCUAACAAAUACAUUUUGAAUUGGACAUUUCACAAAUACAUGUCCUACCAGUAUCAUACGAAUGUAAACAAAAUUCUUUCUUCAUAUGCCGCAUUCUUUUACUGUGAUAACUCAUUUCAACUCUCUCACAACUGAUUCGUAAUCUGUGGGAUGCAUUAAAGCCUUUUGCAGUUAAAUCAAUAGUAUAUGAUGAUGUGAAUGUUAUUUAUAUACUAAAUAUAAUCACAUAGUAACUUCAAAUUUGAUAAGGUACAACAUGUUACCAUAUCUCUUUUAAUUUCUUUUAUUUCAUUAUAUAUUUAGGUGUAUUUAAUUUCUUUUUAUUUCAUUGUGUAUUUAGGUGUAUUACGUAAAAUAUAUAAUUAAAAAGAAAGAAGAAUAAUGUUAUUUUUAAAUUUAAAGAAUGACAUAUAGAAAUAAACAAGCUAUUUUGAAAUUUUUAGAUUUUACAAAACAUUACAUUUUGAUUUUAAUAUUUAUAAAAUAUUUUUUAAUUUCAUAUUUAAAACACAACACUUAGUUGAGUGUGUUCCUUAGUUACUUACCAAAUAACAACAUACAUCUUAUCGGGUCUUUUUGCGACCCGACCCAAACUCAUCUCGAUCCUAGUAGGGUUCGCAUCAUCUUCAAUUGAGGAGUAGAUUUGUCAGGAGGAAAAUAAAUUGAUUUAUAAGAACAUGUGAAGUUGUUUAGAUUGAGGAAUAAUAGAUGGAUUUUGAUUAUGAUUUAUGGUAAGUUUAAAAAAAAUAGAUUUGUUUCUUUUAACAUUUUUUGUAUUAUAAUUAUUUGCUGGCUGAAUUGUUUUGAGUUAACAUGUUUUCUUGGGGUAUGAUAUUGUGAGGUUUUAUUACAUGCAGGUACGUGAAUAUUUUUUUUAUUCUAGUUGUAUAAAUCAGGAAAAAAUGUUUUUCACAAUAUAAUUAUAAUAACCGUUUAACAACCUAAAUAAUAAUAAAAUAUUAACUCAUAUUAUUUAAUUAAAUUAUUAAAUAAAAAGUAGUAAAACUGAUUGUAGGAUGGGAAUAUGAUUAUUUUUAACUGCUAGCUCCUCAUUAUUCUUUUAUAAUAAAAAACACACUAGUAGGUGUUGAAAAUCGUAAUAUAACAAACAAGUUUUGACACACGUAGGUUUGGCAAUUGUUUUAAUAGCUGAAAAUAGUAAAACAAUUUUUAAUUACCACAAACUGCAUCUUAAAUCAUAAAAAAUAGCAUUUUUUAGUUCAUAUAUAAUAACAUUUCCAUAAAUAAAUCUCCCGCCGCCAUUGAUAUUAAUCAUUAAUAAUUUUAGAUAAUAUUUUUUACUAUAAAACAUUUAAUUGAGAUUGAAUUUUUAAUUCACACUUUUUGGUCAAAGAAUAAUAUAUUUCAUUUUUUUAUUUAUUAAAUAUUUUGUAUAAUGCUGAGAAAAAAAAAUCUCACACACACACACACAUAUAUAUAUAUAUGAUCCCUAUGUCCUACAAGUACAAUAUAACAUCGUUAGUAUAAUGAAUAAAAAUAAUGAGUAUUCAAAGUCGUGUAUUUACGUAAAAGAAUAACAUGAUUUUUAAAAGAACUCACAUUAUCAGUUUAAAUUUUGACGAUAAAAUACAUUAAUUAUAUAUAUUUAUUCAAAAUUUCAAUUAUAUUAUGCAUUAAUGGUUUUAUGCUUUUAGAGGAAUCAGAGAAACUUAGAAAAGCUUAAUGAAACCCUAUGAAUAAAGGAGAUGUAAAAGAAAGAGAAAAAGGAAGUGAGAAAAGAUGAUAAUUAAUAAACACCCACUCUUCAUAACAUAGAGUCUUUAAACCUAUAUUCCCUCAAACAGCAUUUAUAAGUUAUUAUCACCCACAUGGAAUAAGGUGCCUCAAUGUGAACAAACCAAGAUCAGUAAGAAAUAUGAGGUUCAAAUAACGAAGCUGAGAAUUUUCUGGUUUUACAGCUCCAUGCACAAACCUAAUACAAUGAUAUGAUAUUCCAUAGGAUGGAGAAAAGUAUGAUAUGAAGAGGAUUUACCAAUUACCCUUUCGAAUGCAGCUCCUCAGGAUUCCAUCAUGCCUUCACUGCACAUGCAACCCAAAUAUGCUAAAGAAGUUAAUCAAACCCAAAUAUAAAGAAUUUCUAGAGAAUGCAACUCUGGGACAACAGAGUACCCCAUCUCAAGCUGAACAGAAACAUUAAACUAUAUCUAACAAUAACUUAGAAAUCUUUGUCAACAAUGAACGAAUCCAACCGUAAAAUGCCAUUGAAAAUGUAAAUAAAACAAAAUAAAUUAGAUAUGAGAAAUUCAUGAUAAAAUUUCAACACUUGUAAUGUAGAAGCAUUACGAUAAGCCAGUUUUGAUCCUCACCAAUGAAAGUCUAAUUAGCAGAAGAGGAAGAGACUAGUUGACUGGGUAGCUUUCUGCAAUGCCUAUUUUAAGGUUACGCUUCCGGCAAAAAUAUAAUAGAAGACUGCUCUCAUGUCAAAGUUUCUCAUACAUAGAACAACCCGCAAAAGAGAUUAAACAUUCCAAAAGAUGUCUCAACAGAAAUGAAAUGAGAUCCUAACAACUUGUUGGGAAAGUACUAUUUUGCCUUCAAUUCCAUUACUUCCUUUUGCCUUUAAGAGUGCAGUCAUAAUCAUCAAAAUACUUAGACUUUGUGAUAUGUCUUUUGGGCUUGCUAUUCAUCUUUUGUUGCCUCCUCUUGAGCCAUAACACUUUUGGCCUUCCUCUUCCUAUAUUCCCUUGUGUCUCUUGAAGACUGUGCAACAUUACUUCGACUGGAUUAUUCAAUGUGAACAGCACCACCAUAUUCAUCAUCUUUCUUUUUGGAAUAAAGAGGGCAUAUGCCGCAUUCUUUUACUCUGAUAUCGGGCCACCAAUGGCUGAUCUCAAAAGUGAAGCUGCGAGCAUCACAGAGCCUAAGGCUCAUGCCGCUUGCCCUUAGGGACUCCAAGUUAAAUUUCCACACAAAUGUGUGAUCUUUAUCAAGAAAUCUGCCUGCAUCCGUCAAGUUUAACACAUCAUUAUUUGGAAUGAUCUGUGUGCCAUCAUCAUCAGAUUCAAAUUUUAGGCUGUAACCAAAAGAACUAUAUCUACCUUUAAUAUCAUUCGUAUCUAACACUUCAAAAACCACGCACAAAGAGAAACCAGUGAGCCUAUUAUCGCUGCAAAAACUUAAAUCUUCAUUUAUAGUCACUGAAUGUCCCUUCCCACGAAAAUGGAACCAACCAGGAACUGCACUCCCUGGAUAACAGAAGAACACAGACCUAUAUGCAUCGUCGGUCAUCCUAAGCCUUGCAUCCUUCUCAAUGUUAGCACGACCACCUGAAUCCAGUUGUUGAGCAUUGGUGAAAUGAAAUUUGAAUACACCCUCUUUGGAAUUUGAGAGGUUCCGAACAAGAGAAUUUGACAUCACUUUUCUAAUGGAUGGGCAAUCCAAUGCCACGAGUUGUUUUAGAAAUGGUGGAAUCGGUGGGAUGCAUUCAAGCUUUUUGCAGUCGCUUAAAUCAAGCGAUUUCAAGCUCGAAAGAUGAGCAAUGCUCUCAGGAAGGUUCACGAUUCCGCUAUCACGCAGUGACAGUUCCAUUAAUGACGUCAAACGACCAAUGUGCCUUGGGAUUUCUGUUAAUUUGGCACACCCCGAACAAUCAAGUUUAGAGAGAAGCUUCAGAUUAACAAUGCAGUUUGGAAGUGACUCGAGAUCAGUGCAUUUGCGGAGCUCCAGGGAACGAAGAUUAACGAAAUUGGCAAAUGAGGAAGGCAGUUCUUUAACAGUCGUAGAUGUUAAGUUAAUGUGAGCAAAAGUAUGAGCCGACUCCGUGAUCUCUGGGAAGGUCCUCAGCCUUGAGCAACCACGCAAAUCAAGGUUCCUCAACUUCAAAUUGAAAAUGGUGCUUGGAAAAGUUUGAAGUGAAUUACAGUGGGCAAGGUCUAACUUGCAUAGUCUGGUGAGGCUUCCAAUGGAAGAUGGAAUAAUCUCAAGAUUGAAGCAACUGUGCAAACUCAGUUGUUGAAGCCCUACCAAACGGCACAAGGAUGAAGGUAGUGCCUGUAUGGCUGUGUCGUCUAAGAUGAGCACCGCUAGAUCUUCCAACGUGUCCUGAAUCUCGGGUAAAUUUUCCAGUUUUGAGCAACCACUGAGACAAAGUUGCUUUAGGAAUUUCAUAUCAGAAAGGUCAAACGGAAAGAUUGUAAGGGAAGAACAGUCAGAGAGAUCUAAGUAACAGAGGUUCUUGAGACUUUGAAAGUUUAAGGGCACACCUUCCAAGAGACUGUUGAACACCUCUGAGUCUUCUGAGUCUGUAGCAUUAUUAGCCACUUCUAUAUUAUAUCUGUCAAAAGUAAUUGACAAAAUUUCACUGCUUGGGGAAAUUUCACUGGAAGUUGGGAAAUUUAUCUCUUUCGUCAUAUCCAGUUCCUGACGCUCCAGUAUGACAUGAGGGAGAAAUUUAUCUUCAUGUUUACUGAUUGAAAACAUAUUAAGCUUCCGACAAUGGGAAAGAGUAAUCCAUCCUGGUGAUGUGGAUAAAAUGUUGCUCGGAAUAUUUACACUAUUCAGAUCAUCACAAUGAUCUAAACAUAAACAACUGAGUUUGCUGAGGAAUAUCGAAGAGUGAAUUUCAAUCAACUUUUUACAAUAACUCAGAAUUAUUUUUUCAAUAUUUGGUGACAUAGAAAGGUCUGGUAUUCUAGCAAGUUUCCAAGAACGUGUCAGGUCGAGCCUUUUCAAGUUGGGUAAAUUCUGCCACAAAAAGUAAAUGAAUCAGGUAACAAAUAAUAACUACUUUAUCUAUUUUUCUUCCUAUUUAAACUAUUAGCUACUACUAUUGAGUUUAUAUUUUACAUUACUUAAAAACCACUGUUAAAAAAGCCACACUGUGGACUAACAAAAUUAUAUUUUAAAAUAUUAUUAAAGAUAAAAUAUGAAGAUAGGGUAAUUAAAUUAAAUAUAAUUUUUAUUUUUCAGAAAUGAUGAAAAUUAUAAUUAAAUUAACUAAAUUAUAUAAAAUUCCAUUUUAUUUACAUAACUCCUUUUCAUAUUAAAAAACUAUAUAAGAUCUUGAAACUAUAAUUAAUAUCUUAAAAAUUUAAAUAAUAAUAAUUAUUUCUACUCAUCCUUAAUUUUUGUUGGUGAAAUCUUGAUUUUUGGGAUAAUAUCACUUAAACUUAAGAAAUAUUUGACAUUAAUGAACUCUAAACAAAUUUAUAUAAGAAAUCAAGACAUCACUUUCAAUCCGAAAUCUUAAACUAAUAGGUUUAUGGAUUUUCUUUAUAUGUUGUUCAUCUUACCAAUUUGAACCCAAUGCGAGACUUUCAACUCUAAGAGAUGAAGUGGUGUACUUUAUGCUUCUAGGACUUGUUAGAUAUUGAAACAUGUACCAUUGCUAAAAUGUUUGAAUGAAGGAGAAGUCAAAGUCUCUCUCCUUUAGAGAUAUUCGCUCAAGUGGCAAGAGGUUGAUUAAGCAAGAGAGAGAUCGUAUUAAUUCUCUCUUCUAUGCAAUUGUUGUCGUUCAAACAAUGUGGAAUCAUUCAAGCAAAGAAAUCUUCUUUUGGGUUAGGAAACAAGGUUUUUCAAGCGAGAUAAACUCGUCUAAAGAAUUUAACUCUAGUAGUGAAAUGUUGUUGCCAUGAUUUAGCCAAGUGUUUGUAUCUAUGAGGCUAAUGAUGAUGAUGACGAUGAUAAGAUGCAUGAAUGUGUAUACACAAGUGUAUGAUAUACCUCAUGUUAUAUAUUGUAUGUGAUUCAAUUGAUGACCAUUUAUUUUUAGGCCAUUUAUAUGUAUAUUUUGGCCCUUUUAUGAGUAUGUGACGAGAUAUACCUAAGAUUGUAUUAUGAUCCUAAUGAGUCGAAGUAUCAAACACAAAACUCAUUAUGGAAAAAAAAAGAUAUUUUGUGCAUCAGUUAUGAUAUGAUCACAACAAUUAAAGCAUGUGUGAACGGUUAAUAUUGUUCUUAAUAAGAAAACAAAUAAUAUUGUAUGUGACAUUAGAGAUGUCAAAUAGGUUUAGAAAAUUAUUAAGUUUAAUUAUCUUUUUAGUCUUUAUAUUAAUGACCAAAAGUCAAUUCAGAUUUUUAGAAAGUUCAAUAUGAUUUAAUUUUUUAAAAAACAAUUCAAUGUGAUUCCUUCUAGUAUAUUUCCCUUAUUAAAAUAUUUUUAUCUUAAUGAUUCUGCCACUGUUAAGUUAUAUGUGUUGUUAUCACAUUGAAUUGUUUUAAAAAAAUUUGGAACCACCACAUUAAAUUGUUUUAAAAAGUUAGUACUAAAUUGAACUUUUGAAAAUUGGGAGAAUGAAAUUAAAUUUUGUCUAUUAAUACAGGGACAAAAAAUAAUUGAAUCAAAUAUUUUACUAUUUUUGUGAUGUAUAUUUAUAUAUAAAUAAUUUUGAGAAUUUAGAGUUACAAUGUGUUAUAUCAUAUAUAUAUAAUUCUUUUUGGUAAUGUAUCCUGUAGUUGUAAGCAAGUAUGAUUAUAUUAAGUGGGGCGUUUCAAAUAGUGGAGACUACGCAUAUACAAAUAUCUCUUAUAAAGUAAGAAAACAAAACAAUCGUUACUCAAGAAGAUCAUGCAAUGCAUCACAGACAACAUGGGAGAUAUAUAUCAACAAUAAUAUGAGUAAAUAAUACAUUCAUGGGCCAUUAGACGAUAUGCCUAAAAAAAAUAUGCAAACUAUUAAAUUUAUAAUUAUUUUUAAUUAGAAACAUGCUGAGUAUGACUCUUAUGAUAUAUGUAUAACUGUGUGCUUCAAAUAAAAGAAAUUUCAAAUCGAAUAAUGUGGAGAAGGCACAAAGGAAUUGCAAAUGAAAACCUGUAGAUGUAUAAUACACAAAACAUGCUUGUCUAAUUUAUUUUUAUCUUUGAAAGUUUAGAACACAAAGGAACAUAGAUAACUUGAAAAACCUGAUCUCCUUCCCAGAGUUGUUCAAGAUCGCAGUAUGGCAUUUCGAGGAUCACUAGAUUUUGUGGGCAAAAGUUUGGAGGCCAGAAUCUUUGAAGGAAACCGUUCCAAUAAAGAAACUUUAGAGUGUCCGGCAGACCUACAAGAGAUGAUUCAAGAGACACUUUUGAAUUCAAUCUAGGCAUGUAGACCAUAAGCAUCAUAAGAUUGUCCAUCUUUUCGAAACUUUGUGCAUGUACUACAGCAUCUUUUACUUUGUUCGUAUGAUAUUGAUAUACACUGUAUUGCAUCUGACCCCUGAAAGUAAAUCAAUGUAAUUAGAAAAAAAAACAUGAAAUGUUGCAUUUCAGGAUGCUUAAUGACAGCUCAGUAGUUUUCUAUUUUUCACAAAGUAACAACAGCAUAUACCUUGUUCUUUCUUAAAACCUCACAAAUUUCCUCAUCAUUAAACAAUCGGCUGCGUUUUCCAGGAUGCUGAGGACACUCUUUACGAACAAUUUCUUUACCCAUUUCUUGUAUUAGAUCGUGCAUCACAAUUCUACCAUCAAAGACAGAGAUUAGACCCCUAUCUUUGAGAAUAUCCAUUCCAAUCUUAGAAGAGAAACCACAGUCAUCAAGUGUUUCUGCUACCACAGUCUCCUCUUGCCCUCUAUAAAAGCAAGCUAUGUCAAGAAAUAUAUUCUUCUCCUCCUCCUUGAGCCCAUAAUAACUUAAUUUUAAUACGUCGAAAGUUCCAAGAUCUUGGCCGUUUUCCAACUUUUGCAACUGACUCUCCCAUGCUUCUCUUGUUCUGCCAUAAAGCAAUGACCCCAAAAUCUGGAGAGCUAACGGAAUUCCUUUUGCAUAUCUCAACACCUUUACUGACAGGUCCAUGUAAGCAAUUCCUUCUGAAGAUUUUUGUUUAAAAGCAUGUAAACUAAAAAGUUUCAGAGAAUCAUAAAAAUUCAACUCCUUAACUUCGUAGAUAUCAUCAGCUCCAGCAUUCUUAAGCACUUGUCUGUCUCUACUGGUCAUAAUGAUUCUACUGCCCUGCCCAAAACUAUCACUCCCACCUAUUAAUUUUUGAAGUUGAGUUGAAUCGGUAACAUCAUCAAGAAUGAGGAGAACCUUUGUCCGUUUGAGCCUUUCAUUGUAAUAUGGUAAAUAAGAGGAUUUCUCUUCCUUUAGAAGCUCAGACUGAUAUUUUGUUCUGAUACCGUCUAUUCCAUCUCUUUGUAUUUUUUCUUGAACGUCUAAAACAAGGCUGCUGGAAUCAAACUGCAAUGCCAAUUUCUGAUAUAUUUGAUCACAAAUUGUAGUUUUUCCUAUUCCUCCCAUGCCACAAAUUCCUAUGAUCCGAACAUCCGUUGACUCAAGAUGCAACAAGGACUGAAUUCCUUCAAUAUUUUUUUCAAUGCCGAUGAUUCCUUGAUCAUAACUGGCGGAAUAACGAUUCAAUUUUCUCAAAAUAUCUUCCACAAUUUCUUCAACAAGUGCGUGUUCUGGCCUGGCAGAUGAUUUAGAAAAUAAAGUAUAAGUAUUCAAGCACAAAAGCUAAAGUAAACUAAAGAAAAAUUUUACAGUAACCGUUUGUGACUUCUGAUACUAGGGAGCAUACUUGUAGGUACAAAGUUAAGCUAUUGUGUGAUAUGGUUCAGAUCUAUGACCGACUAAUAGAAAUGAAAAAAGAAGCACUUGAUUUAUGGUGAGAUGAACACAAUUUUAGUAAAUGAAAAGAGAUCCUGAUUAUCUAAUAAAUAUAAUGACCUGGUGACUUUUGAAUCCCAGCCUGCAAGUCCAGCAGCUUCGGUGAGAGCAUCCUUCCAUCCUUGCACUGUGUCGUGCUUAAAGUGCUGCUCAUGCUCAUUGAAUGCUUCUUUGUAUCUUUCUUCCUGCUUCCUAAUAGUUGAUGGAUCCACCUUGUAGAAAACAGGUAUCACAUCCCUUCCAUAUCUCUUCUUGCAAUCAAGUAUCUUAGUGAGUUCAUCCAAGCACCAUGUGGAAGAUGCAUAGUUUUUGGAGAAAACGAUGACAUAAAUCUUUGAUUCUUCUAUUGCAGAGAGGAGUACAGGUGAAAUUUCUUGGCCCCUGAGUAAUCUGUAAUCAAUAUAUGCUUGAAUGUUCUUCCUUUGCAGCGCUGCAUAAAGGUGACUAAUGAAGUUGUCACGUGUGUCUUCCCCUCUGAAGCUGAGAAACACAUCAUGCUUUGUUAAAGAAGCAGACAUGGCCAAUGAUGAAGGGUUUCAAUGUUCUCUGCAACUCUCAGAUCCCUUUGUUUGUAAGCAACUUCCAUAUAUUCUAUUAGGAAGGAAAAUAUAUAUUUCUACCAUUCCUACCACAAAUUGAAAAAGCCUUUCAAUUUUCUCAAAAUAUCUUUCACAGCUGUGUUCUGUCAGAUACGAAACAUUGAGUCAAUGGAAGAGUCAACAAUUGGCAGAAUAUUAUGGUGUGUAGCUUUAUACCAUUCUUACAAUAUUUGAUUGGUUGAAUAUAUACAAUAUGACUAAUGAACUUUUUUCUUUUCCGUAUUCCACGAUAAUUCCCUAGGCACCCUAUUAUACACUUUCUUAUCAACGGAAACCAUGUCUGUCCUUUUAUAGUUUUAAUCCUAUAAUAUCUUUCCAUUAAUCAUCAUUAUCACUCUUCAACCUUCAUAUCAAGUGUAUUGAUUUCAUACUUCAUCAGCUAGACAUAAUAAAAUCUCAAUAAUCUUUUAUACUGUCAACAUUUAUAAAAAAUAUUUCCUUCAAUAAUAUUUGUACUUUCUAGCAUAUAGAAUACUUAAUGGAUUCUUCUGUGAUUUUUCUUUCCUAAAGUACAAUUGAUAUUUUAACAGAUGCCGAAAGGUCUUGAAUAUGAGGCUGUUUCGAAAUGAAAAUUGGGGUAAAGCAUUUUCAAGUUAACAAGUUUUGUUGGGUGAGUGAGUGAUCAGUGCUAGCAUUUUCAAUCUCAGUUAUAGAAUGUAAAGAUUUACACAUUUAUUUGCUGAUUAAUAAUUUAUUUAUUGAAUUAAAUGUUUUAACAGUGAGUAUGGAUUCUUGAAUGAAUGUAAUCAUGGUGUAGAAUGUACAUAGUACAUAUAGUGAGUUGGAUUGAAAUGUUGAACACGUUUUCCUCUGCAAAGAUUCAGGAUAUUUAUGAACUUGCUAUAAAUUGUUUUAACUUUUCUCUGCAACUCUCAGUCCCUUUGUUUCUACCAUUUUGUUUUUGAAAAGCCUUUCAAUUUUCUCAAAAUAUCUUUCACUGCUGUGUUCUGUCAGAUACGAAACAUUGAGUCAAUGGAAGAGUCAACAAUUCGUAGAAUAUUAUAUUAUGGUGUCAAUAUUUAAUAAAUUUAUUUAUUUCUUUAACAUAUUUUAGAAAAUAACCAGUAAACAUAAAACUUUUAGUAUGACUAAAAGAAUAAAGAUAGUGUAAGAAUAACAGGAAUAACAUUACUACAAAUAACAAUAUAUUAAUAUUAAUAUGUUUCUUAAUAAAUUUUACACCCACUGUCUAUUUAUAAAUUAAUAUAUUAUAAACAUCUAUUGAUUUUUUGUGGGUAGCUUAUUUCUGUAACAUUUUAAAUUAAUUUUUUAGAUUUUACAAAACAUUACAUUUUGAUUAUAAUAUUUAGGACUGUGAUGCAAUUUCUGCAAUGAAGGCUGGCAGACUAAGUUUCUCCAAGCCCAAUUAAUACUGGGUUGAAAAUUCUGAGAAGAGGGUGAGUAUGAUGCUGCGGUCAUGAUCUAUGUAUUAAAGUGUUAAGGCAUGGGUUUGGUUGACAGGACAAUACUGGUUUUUCAUUGCUACUACUUAAUAUGAUUCUUUCUUACUGCUAUAUGAAUUUGCUGUCAAAUAGCAGUAAAUAAAAGACUUCAAAUAAAGCAUGUGUUUAUCAUACAUGGACUAAUGCAGCAGUUUUAGUAGAAGGGGCUAAUAUGAUUUUAAUCUAGAACAAGAUGGCUAAACCCAAAGAUGGUGGGAAUAAUAUCCUCAAAUCAAUUGUUUUGGUUUUCAGUGUAAUGUCAUUUGUAAGUAUCAAAAUUUGUUUGUUAUCACAUUGGAAGGUAGUAUCUGUCAUGAAAUUUGUGGAAGACCUUUACCUAUGUUUGCUUUGGGUCUGUUUUACGCCCUCUCGAAUUAAGUAAAUUUUUAAUUGCCAUCAUGAAAUUAGGCUAAAUAUGUGUAGUUUUGAGCACUUUCUUUCUUCCAUUUCAAUUCAUAGUUUCAUACAUAUUCAAUAUCAUGUGGGAAUUAAGUUCUUGCUUUUAAGGUGAAUAACAGUUUGUAUUCUUGCAGAAAACUAUUUUCUAAUGCAUAUAAAUUUCAUUUUCUAUUUUCAGCAUUGGAUUAUGUUAUGUAAUUUUUCCUUUGUAUUAUACAGAGUAGGAUUUUAAUGUUUCUACUGAACAGUGCUAUCUUUUUUCGUCCAUAUUCUGAUUUUGUUCAAUUUUUUUCAGUAUGUGCCACAUGCAGAUCAGAUGUAAGGAAUUUUCUAAAUUUUUUUUCAAGCUUUCUUGUUUGCUUAAAGUUUUCUGUAAGUAUUUAACUGUCUUAAGUUGUUAAUGAGGACUAAGGACUGAAAAAGAGAAUUAGCCAUGACAUGGUGGCAUUAUCCUUCUUCAAAACCAUUAGUUUUUUUUCCUACAAAGAUACAUGUCAAGAAAGCAAACCAGGAACAAAAGUGAUGUUUAUGAUUGCUUUCUCUCUUGUUUACUUGCUUUCUUUUUGUUGGACAAUUGUCUUAAUUGCAUUCACACCUAACCUGCAGUAGUUUCAGUCCCUUUGGGGUUGUCAUAAUUGCAGCCUCAAGAGUGGUGGUGUAGUCCAACAUCAACCAGUGAUAUAGUUCAAAUAUAGCAUAUACAUGAAAGUCGUGUUGAUAAUCAAAGGUUGCUUCAUCUUAACUAAUAACAUGUAAAUGUCAUUUGAAUGGUUAAAAAGGAAUUCACCAGUGUAACACAAAAUGAAUGGAUUGCUUGGUUAUGUGUCAACUGUUGUACUUUUUUUGAGUUGCUUGAAAAUAAUUAAAAUUUGUUUUCAUCUAGAUCUUGGUUUUUUCCUAUGAUCAAAUCUCGAUUUAUUUCUGUGCAGAACUUUCUUGUGGACAUAAAAGGACCAGCUAUAGCAUUUUUACCGGUGCUUGCAUUUGAAGGAGGAACUAGAAGAAAUAUACCUAGGUUUGAGGUGUGUAUAAAUUAUUUUUGAUGUAUUUCGUGAUGUAGAUGUAAAAUAAUGCAAUACUUUGUUUUUAGUUUCAAUGUUACUCUUUAUCUGCAGGUUGGAAACAUAUCUUGAUGAAAUAUAGAAACAUUUUUAUUCAUAAUAUAUAUAUAAGGAUUACACAUUCAUAAUUAUUUCUUUCUGUCGUAGCAUUGUCUACCUCAAAUCACUGCAACUUUCUGUUGUUGGUAUAAAAAUACAAUAUUUUAAUCCCAGUUUUGAUAGCCUCUAUUCUUCAGUGGUUGAGAUAUUUUUUAUAAGAAUUUAGAAGUUCUGAGAUAUUUAUGAUAAGAAUUUCAAGUUCUUUGUUACUAGCAGUUUAAUGGUUAUAUCAUUUUUGUUCUCUGGAAAAUAUCUUAUACAAAAUCGGUACUUAGAUUUGGUAUUUAUAUUGUUCAUAUGUAGAAAUCUAAUACUAGCAAAUUUUGUCUAAUUUAAAAGCAAUUACAUUCUACUCUUUGGAAUAUGUUCUGGCCUGCUUUUAUGAAUUAUUUGAAAAUUUGUAAUUAUAAAAUUUAGUCUUUGAAAUUAUAAAUUUAAUAGAGAAGCAUCCAUACUAAACUUUUAUAUUAUAAAUUGUCAGUUUUAUAUUGAAAACAUAUCCCCUUUAGUAUAAGACUUAAAGGAGAUGUCUUUUGGUAUAAAAACUGAAAUAAAAAAUAUUUUAACUAUAUGGGUCAAAUGGAUGAUUAAACUUAUAAAAUGUACAAUUAAACUUAUAAAUUAUAAUAAACGAUACUUUAAUUUUAAACUAUAUUGAACUUUUAUUAAUGUUCUCGCUUUUCUUUAAAAGCUAUUGAACUCUAUCUAACAAUAACUUAAAAAUGAGAAAUUCAUGAUAAAAUUUCAACACUUGUAAUCUAGAAGUAUUACGAUAAGCCAGAAGAGGAAGAGACUAGUUGACUGGGUAGCUUUCGGCGUUCCUCUUCCUAUCUUCCCCUGUUUCUCCUGAAGAGUGUGCAACAUUGCUUCCACUGAAUUCUUCAAUGUCAUUUUCUGAUGCAGAAUAGUCAACAGCACCACCAUAUUUAUCAUCUUUCUUUUUCGUAUAAAGAGGGCAUAUGCCGCAUUCUUUUAUUCUGAUACCUGAUUUCAACUCUCUCUCAACUGAUUCGUAAUCUGGCCGAUUUGGCCGCAGAAAGGGAUCAUACGGACUGAUCUCAAAAGUGAAGCUGCGAGCAUCACACAGCCUAAGGCUCAUGCCGCUCGCCAUUAGGGACUCCAAGUUAAAUUUCCACACGAAUGUCCCUUCACCAUCCCAUUUGAAAUAGCUAUUUAACACACCCUUAUAUGGAAUGAUCUGUGUGCCAUCAUCAUAUUCAAAUUUUAGGCUGUAACGAAAAGAACCAUAUCCACCUUUAAUAUCUAACACUCCAAAAGCUACACACAAAGCGAAACCAGUGAGCCUAUCAUCGCUGCAGAAACUUAAAUCUUCAUUUAUAGUCACUGAAUGUCCCUUCCCACGAAAAUUGAACCAACCAGGAACUGCACUCCCUGGAAAACAGAACAACACACACCUAUAUGUAUCGUCGAUCAUCCUAAGCCUUGCAUCCUCCUCGAUGUUAGCACGAGCACCUGAAUCCAGUUGUUGAGCAUUGGUGAAAUGAUAUUUGAAGACACCCUCUUUGGAAUUUGACAAGUUUGGAACAAGAGAAUUUGACAUCACUCUUCUAAUGGAUGGGCAAUCCAAUGCCUCGAGUUGUUCUAGAAAUGGUGGAAUCGGUGGAAUGCAUUCAAGCUUUUUGCAGUCGCUUAAAUCAAGUGAUUUCAGGCUUGAAAGAUGAGCAAUGCUCUCAGGAAGGUUCACGAUUCCGCUAUCACGCAGUGACAGUUCCAUUAAUGACGUCAAGCGACCGAUGUGUCUUGGGAUUUCUGUUAAUUUGGCACACCCCGAACAAUCAAGUUUAGAGAGAAGCUUCAUAUUAACAAUGGAGUUUGGAAGUGACUCGAGAUAAGUGCACUCUUGGAGUUCCAGGGAUCGAAGAUUAACCAAAUUGCCAAAUGAGGAAGGCAGUUCUUUAACAGCCGUACAUGUCAAGUCAAUAUGAGCAAAAGUAUGAGCCGGCUUCAUGAUCUCUGGGAAGGUCCUCAGCCUUGAGCAACCACCCAAAUCAAGCUUCCUCAAUUUCAAAUUGAAAAUGGUGCUUGGAAAAGUUUGAAGUGAAUUACAGUAGGUAAGGUGUAACUUGCAUAGUCUGGUGAGGCUUCCAAUGGAAGAUGGAAUAAUCUCAAGAUUCAAGCAACUGUGCGAACUCAGUUGUUGAAGCCCUACCAAACGGCACAAGGAUGAAAACUUAUUUUAUUUUUGCUGUUCAUGCAUAACAUUAACAAAUAUUGACAUGAGAGAUUGUGUUUGUAGGCUUCUAAGCUCACCAACGUGUCCCGUUCUUGAUGCUUUAGGGAAGAAAAUUUCCUUUGAGAUUGCAAAAGGACUCAGGAGAAUUUAGAAGUUCUGAGAUAUUUAUGAUAAGAAUUCAAGUUCUUUGUUACUAGCAGUUUAAUGGUUAUAUCAUUUUUGUUCUCUGGAAAAUAUCUGAUACAAAAUUGGUACUUAGAUUUGGUAUUUAUAUUGUUCAUAUGUAGAAAUCUAAUACUAUAGCAAAUUUUAUCUAAUUUAGAAGCAAUUAUAUUCUACUCUUUGGAAUAUGUUCUGGCCUGCUUUUAUGAUUGUAAUUAUAAAUUUAAUAGAGGAGAUUACCAAACAUCCAUACUAAUUAAACUUUUAUAUUAUAAAUUUUUUCAGUUUUAUAUUGAAAACAUAUCCCUUUAGUAUAAGACUUAAAGGAGAUGUCUUUUGGUAUAAAAACUGAAAUAAAAAAUCUUUUAACUAUAUGGGUCAAAUGGAUGAUUAAACUUAUAAAUGUACAAUUAAACUUAUAAAUUGUAAUAAACGAUACUUUAAUUUUAAACUCUAUUGAACUUUUUUUAAUGUUCUCGCUUUUCUUUUAAAUGCAUUUCACUUGUGUGUUUUGUAUUCAGGCUGAUUUUAACUUUAUUCUCAAAUAUACAAAAUAAUUUUUGGUAAUUAUCUUGUGUCGAUCUUGACUUGUAGUAUCAAUGUGAAAUAUGUAAUAAUUACUUUUCUAUGAUUCAGAGGGAAAAUUAUUCCAACUAGACUUUUACAAAUAUAUUUCAAGUGGUAAUAUGAUUUUAAAAAAAAUAGGAUUCGCCACAAAAAAAAGUUACUGUUCCUAAUUGACAUGGUGCUGUCAAAAUUAUUUAAUUACAAUUUAGAUCUUCACUCUACAUAUAAUUAAUUAAUUACCAAUUAUUUAAAAGACUAGUAAAUUAUAAUUUUAAUCUCUCUACAACUUUCUAAAUUUAGUUAUGAUUCUCUCAAAAAAAUUUCCCUUAAAUAUUAAUUAUAAUUACCUUUAGACAGAAACAUUUCUAAUUUAAACAAGCAAAAAUAAGAAAAAAAAAUAGAUUACAAAAACUAAAUUUGAAUUUUUUUAUAUAACUCCAAAUAUAUUUUAUCCAUAAAUAAAUUCUAUUAAUAUUUCAUUUCUGUUUAAAUAGUUUAUUCAUAUUUGUAAUAUUAUUUUCAAAAAACAAUAAUUGUUUUUUGAAUAAAGGUUUACAAAUUCUAUAAUAAUGUAAAUGAGAAGAGGAGUGAGGGUAAAAAUAUGAGAACCUAUGUGAGGGAAUCUUGUGACAAUUUAGCUGGUGUUCAACUUGUGAGAAGUCUUUCAACUUGGUUUUCAAGUUUUAUAUUCAAUUUCUGUUCCUUCAAAUGUUUCUGAUUUUACAGCUCCUCAGGAUUUUACAGCUCCAUGCACAAACCUAAUACAAUGAUAUGAUAUUCAAUCAGCAUUAAUUAGCAUAAACAGGUACCUUGUUGUAAAACUGGGAAUAUGAGAUUCCAUAGGAUGGAGAAAAGUAUGAAGAGGAAUUACCAAUCACCAUUUACCAAUCAUAAUGCCUUCACUACAAAUGCAACCCAAAUAUGCUAAAGAAGUUAAUGAAACUAUAUAUGAAGAGUUUCAAGAAGAUGCAACUCUGGGACAACAGAGCAACCCAUCUCAUGCUGAACACAAACAUCAAACUACAUCUAACAAUAAUUCAGAAAUCUUAAUCAACAAUUGAGCGAACCCACUCCUAAAAUGCCAUUGAGAAUGUAAAUAAAUCAAAAUACAUUAAAAACGAGAAAUUCUUAAUAAAAAUUCAACGUGUUGAACCUUGUAAUUUAGAAGUAUUAACGAGAAGCCAGUUUAGAUCCUCACCAAUGAAAGACUAUUUUACAGGUUAGCUUCCACUGGAUUCUUCAAUGUGAACAGCACCACCAUAUUUAUCAUCUUUCUUUUUGGAAUAAAGAGGGCAUAUGCCGCAUUCUUUUAUUGUCACAACUGACCACCCAAAGUCAUAAAGAGGACUGAUCUCAAAAGUGAAGCUGCGAGCAUCACACAGCCUAGGGCUUAGGGAUUCUAAGUUAAAUUUCCAGACGAAUGUGUGAUCUUUAUCAACAAAACUGUAUUCACCAUUCCAUUUGAAAUGUCUGUUUAACCUAUCAUUAUUUGGAAUGAUAUGUGUGCCAUCAUCAUCAGAUUCAAAUUUUAGGCUGUAACCAAAAGAACCAUAUCUACCUUUAACAGAAUUCGUAUCUAACACUCCAAAAACCACACACAAAGCGAAACCAGUGAGCCUAUCAUCGCUGCAGAAACUUAAAUCUUCAUUUAUAGUCACUGAAUGUCCCUUCCCACGAAAAUGGAACCAACCAGGAACUGUACUCCCUGGAAAACAGAAGAACACAGACCUAUAUCUAUCAUCGGUCAUCCUAAGCCUUGCAUCCUCCUCAAUGUUAGCACGACCACCUGAAUCCAGUUGUUGAGCAUUGGUGAAACGAAAUUUGAAGACACCCUCUUUGGAAUUUGACAAGUUUUGAACAAGAGAAUUUGGCAUCACUCUUCUAAUGGAUGGGCAAUCCAAUGCCACGAGUUGUUUUAGAAAUGGUGGAAUCUGUGGGAUGCAUUCAAGCUUUUUGCAGUCGCUUAAAUCAAGCGAUUUCAAGCUUGAAAGAUGAGCAAUGCUCUCAGGAAGGUUCACGAUUCCGCUAUCACGCAGUGACAGUUUCACUAAUGACGUCAAGCGACCGAUGUGUCUUGGGAUUUUUGUUAAUUUGGCACACCCCGAACAAUCAAGUUUAGAGAGUAGCUUCAGACUAACAAUGGAGUUUGGAAGUGACUCGAGAUCAGUGCAUUUGCGGAGCUCCAGGGAUCGAAGAUUAACGAAAUUGGCAAAUGAGGAAGGCAGUACUUUAACAGCCGUAUAUGAUAAGUCAAUGCGAGCAAAAGUAGGAGCCCGCUCCGUGAUAUCUGGGAAGGUACUCAGGCUUGAGCAACCACACAAAUCAAGCUUGCUCAAUUUCAAAUUGAAAAUGCUGCUUGGAAAAGUCUGAAGUGAAUUACAGCGGGUGAGGUGUAACUUGCAUAGUCUGGUGAGGCUUCCAAUGGAAGAUGGAAUAAUCUGAAGAUUGAAGCAACUGCGCAAACUCAGUUCUUCAAGCCCUAUCAAACGGCACAAGGAUGAAGGUAGUGCCUGUAUGGCUGUGGCGUCUAAGAUGAGCACCGCUAGAUCUUCCAACGUGUCCUGAAUCUCGGGUAAAUUUUCCAAUUUUGAGCAACCACGGAGAGAAAGUUGAUUUAUGAAUUUCAUAUCAGAAAGGUCAAUUGGAAAGAUUGUAAGAGAAGAACAGUGAGAGAGAUCUAUGUGAGAGAGCUUCUUGCCACUAAAUUGUAAGGGCACACCUUCGUAGUCUUCUGAGUAUUCUGAGUCUGUAGCAUUAUUAGCAUUUAUCUCUUUCAUCAUAUCCGGUUCCUGACGCUCCAGUAUGACAUGAGGGAGAAAUUUAUCUUCAUGUUCACCCAAUGAAAACAUAUUAAGCUUCUCACAACCGGAAACACUAAUCCAUCCUGGUGAUGUGGAUAAAAUGUUGCUGGGAAUAUUUACACUUUUGAGAUUAGAACAAUGAUCUAAACAUAAACAACUGAGCUUGGUGAGGAAUAUCGAAGAGUGAACUUCAAUCAACUUUGAACAAUAACUCAGCUUUAUUUCUUCAAUAUUCGGUGACAGAGAAAGGUCUGGUAUUCUAGUAAGUUCCCAAGAUUUAACCAGGUCGAGCCUUUUCAAGUUGGGUAAAUUCUGCCAGAAAUAGUAAAUGAAUGAGGUAACAAAUAAAAACUACUUUAUCUAUUUUUCUUCCUAUUUAAACUAUUAGCUACUAUCUAUUGAGUUUAUAUUUUACAUUACUUAAAAACCACUGUUAAAAAAACCACACUGUGGACUAACAAAACUCUGCCUAUAAAUUUUAUAGUUAUUAUAAAAAAUCACAAAAUUUAACGUCUUUUUGUUCCCUACCUAAAAUUACAUCCUAAUCAUUUGAACCUAAACUUAUUAUGUAUUCAAAAACUUAUGAUAGUAAUUUAUAAUCGAUCACAAUGUCAAAAUACUUUAUAUUAUACAUGUAUCAACUCACAAAAUAAAUGGUGUUGUCUCAGAUUUAAAAUUAAACCUUAGUUAAAAAGUCCAUCUUUCCAUAAUUUAUUUUAUUAAAUACAUAAUUUGUAAUUUAUUGUAUAUUAUAUUCAAGUUUAUGUUAUGAUAAAAAAAGUAUCUAAGGCAUUUUUAAUUAAAUAAUAUAAAAUAAACAACAUGAACUCAAUUAAAUAAUAUAAAUUUUUUUGAAUACUCGAUGGAAUAAAAAAAUUAAUAAAACCCUCAAUUUGAAAAUAACCAAAUUUAUAAGAUACUUAAAACUUAAUUAAACCUACAAAUUUUCAUUAUAUGGAAUUAAAUAUUGUAAAGAUUUACCACAUAAGUUUCAUAAGUAGAAGGUUUAAACAUAAAAUUCUUCACGUUGGGAGUUUCUUUCCUCUAUCUUAUAAGUUUUCGUUGUUUCUUUAAUAUUUUUUAUAUGGCUUCUGUCAAUGUAAUUUUUUUUUUGGUUUUAAAAUAUUAUUAAAGAUAAAAUAUGAAGACAGGGUAAUUAAAUUAAAUAUAAUUUUUAUUUUUCAGAAAUGAUGAAAAUUAUAAUUAAAUUAACUAAAUUAUAUAAAAUUCCAUUUUAUUUACAUAACUCAUUUUCAUAUUAAAAAACUAUAUAAGAUCUUCCAAAGUAGAUAUAAUACAUUCACGGGCCAUUAGAUGAUAUGCCUAAAAAAAUAUGCAAACUAUUAAAUUUAUAAUUAUCUUUAAUUAGAAACAUGCUGAGUAUGACUCAAAUAAAAGAAAUUUCAAAUCGAAUAAUGUCGAGAAGGCACAAAGGAAUUGCAAAUGAAAACUUGUAUAUGUAUAAUACAGAAAACAUGCUUGUAUAAUUUAUUUUUAUCUUUGAAAGUUUAGAACACAAAGGAACAUAGAUAGCUUGAAAAACCUGAUCUCCUUCCCAGAGUUGUUCAAGAUGGCAGAAUGGCAUUUCGAGGGUCACUAGAUUUUGUGGGCAAAAGUUUGGAGGCCAAAAUCUUUGAGGGAAAUGUGUCCAAUAAAGAAUCUUUAGAGUGUCUGGCAUAUCCACAAGAGGUGAUUCAAAAGACACUUUUAAUUCCAAUCCCCACGUGUAGAGCCUAAGCACCCUAAGAUUGUUCAUCUUUUCGAAACUUUGUGCAUGUACUACAACUUCUUUUACUUUGAAAGUAGAUAGUGAUAUACACUCUAUUGAAGUAGAUAGUGAUAUACACUCUAUUGCAUCUGACCCCUGAAAGUAAAUCAUGAAAUGUUGCAUUGCAGGAUGUUUGAUGACAGCUCAGUGGUUUGCAAUUUUUCACAAAGUAAAUCCAUUCUCAAUUGAGUAACGACAUAAUACCUUGUUCUUUCUUAAAACCUCUCAAAUUUCCUCAGCAUUAAACAAUCGGCUGCGUUUUCCAGGAUGCUGAGGACACUCUUUACGAACAAUUUCUUUACCCAUUUCUUGUAUUAGAUCGUGCAUCACAAUUCUACCAUGAAAGACAGAUAUUAGGCCCCUAUCUUUGAGAAUAUCCAUUCCAAUCUUGGAAGAGAAACCACAGUCAGCAAGUAUUUCUGCUACCACAAUCUCUUGUGACCUAUAUAAAAGCAAGCUAUGUCAAGAAAUAUAUUCUUCUCCUCCUCCUCGAGCCCAUCAUAACUUAAUUUUAAUACAUUGAAAAUACCAAGAUGUUGGCCCUUUUCCAACUUUUGCAACUGACUCUCCCAUGCUUCUCUUGUUCUUCCAUAAAGCAAUGACCCCAAAAUCUGGAGAGCUAAUGGAAUCCCUUUUGCAUAUCUCAACACCUUUUCUGACAGUUCCCUGUAAGCAAUUUCUUCUGAAGAUUUUUGUUUAAAAGCAAGUAAACUAAAAAGUUUCUGAGAAUCAUCAAAAUUCAACUCCUUAACUUCGUAGAUAUCAUCAGCUCUAGCAUUCUUAAGCACUUGUUUGUCUCUACUGGUGAUAAUGAUUCUACUGCCCUGCCCAAAACUAUCACUCCCUCUUAUUAAUUUUUGAAGUUGAGCUGAAUCGGUAACAUCAGUUAGAAGUGGAACACGUUUGUAGAAGUGGAACACGUUAGUUGGUUAGUUGCCUUAAGAAGCGGAUCAUGUAUUUUUUCUUGAACGUCUAAAACAAGGCUGCUGGAAUCAAACUGCAAUUCCAAUUUGUGAUAUAUUUGAUCACAAAUUGUAGUUUUUCCUAUUCCUCCCAUGCCACAAAUGCCUAUGAUCCGAACAUCCGGUAAGUCAAGAUGCAACAAGGACUGAAUUCCUUCAAUAUUUUUUUCAAUGCCGAUGAUUCCUUGAUCAUAACUGAUGGAAUAACGAUUCAAUUUUCUCAAAAUAUCUCCCACAAUUCCUUCAACAAGUGUGUGUUCUGACCUGGCAGAUGAUUUAGAAAAUAAAGUAUAAGUAUUCAUGCACAAAAGCUAAAACAAAACUAAAGAAAAAUUCAGAGUCAAGAAGAGUGAACAUCAUUGAAUAGAUUCACAUAUUGAUUGUAGGACGUUAUCUUCGAAUAUUAGUGUGGUUGGUUUAGAAAUUGCAAAUCAAGAUCGCAGAAAUUCUACAGUAACCGGUAGUGACUUCUGAUACUAGGAAGCAGUCUUGUAGGUACAAAGUUAAGCUAUAAGAUGUGAUAUGGUUCAGAUCUAUGACCCACUACGAAAAAUGGAAAAAAGAAACACUUGAUUUAUGGUGAGAUGAACACAAUUUUAGUAAAUGAAAAGAGAUCCUGAUUAUCUAAUAAAUAUAAUGACCUGGUGACUUUUGAAUCCCAGCCUGAAAGUCCAGCAGCUUCGGUGAGAGCAUCCUUCCAUCCUUGCACUUUGUCGUGCUUAAAGUGCUGCUCAUGCUCAUCGAAUGCUUCUUUGUAUCUUUCUUCCUGCUUCCUAAUAGUUGACGGAUCCACCUUGUAGAAAACAGGUAUGACAUCCCUUCCAUAUCUCUUCUUGCAAUCAAGUAUCUUAGUGAGUUCAUUCAAGCACCAAGUGGAAGAUGCAUAGUUUUGGGAGAAAACGACGAUAUAAAUCUUCGAUUCUUCUAUUGCAGAGAGCAGUGCAGAUGAAAUUUCUUCGCCCCGGGGUAGUGUCUCAUCAAUAUAUGCUUCUAUGUUCUUCCUUUGCAGUGCUGGAUGAAGGUGGCUAAUGAAGUUGUCACGUGUGUCUUCCCCUCUGAAGCUGAGAAACACAUCAUGCUUUGUUAGAGAAGUGGACACGGGGAAUGAUGAAGAACUUCCUGUUUAAUUUCUUCGCCCCUGUUUAAUCUGUAAUCAAUAUAUGCUUCAAUGUUCUUCCUCUGCAGCGCUGCAUAAAGGUGACUAAUGAAGUUGUCACGUGUGUCUUCCCCUCUGAAGCUGAGAAACACAUCAUGCUUGGUUAGAGAAGCAGACAUGGCCAAUGAUGAAGGGUUUCAAUUUUCUCUGCAACUCUCAGAUCCCUUUGUUUGUAAGCAACUUGCAUAUAUUCUAUUUCUAUCACAAAUCAACUUUUGGAAAAGCCUUCAAUUCAAAAUAUGCUUCACAGCUUUAUAUUAACGUGCCUAGCUUUAUACCAUUCUUACGCAUUGGUAAAGAUUCUUCAAUAUCUUUACUCAAUUUGUUUCUUCAAUACCUUUUACACAUUCUUACGCAUUGGUAAAGAUUCUUCAAUAUCUUUACUCAAUUUGUUUCUUCAAUACCUUUUACAUAUAAAGAAUCGGAUUUGUUUAAUAUAUUUUAGAAAAUAACCAGUAAACAGAAAACUAGGUUAAUAUGACUAAAUGAAUAAAGAUAGUACUCAUAAAAAAUAUUUUAGAUUACAAGUGGUAUAACUAAAAUAAAAUAUUUUAUUUUUAAAAUAAAAUUUAUAAAUAAAUAAAAAAAUAUAAUUGUUUAGUUUUCGGUGUAAAACAAUAUUCAUUUUUAUAAAAAAAAAUCUUUUCUCUUUUAUUUUAUUUUUAUAUUUCUAAUUAGAGUAUUCUUGAGUUUGACAAUAGAAUCCUUUCUUUGGACUUUUGGAAUUAAAUAAAGAUGUUAAUUGAAAAAAAAAAUUGAAAUAGAAACUAAUUUAGAAACCAAAUUUCUUUUUAGUUUCUAAAAUGGUCUCUAAUUUAGUUACUAUUGCAACUAAUUGUUUUGGUUUCUAGAAAUUGGUUUCUAUUUCAUGAUUUUCUUGUAGUGUAUACUGAAGGUGUGCACCCCUAUGAAAUGUUUUUAUUUCUAGUUGAUGUGUGAUUUCCAAUAAUUAUAUAAAUUGAUUGUUAUAUGCAGUGUGAAGUUUAACCUUGAUUUUUACUUGAAAAAAUGGAUUUUAAUAUGAGGUAUGCAUGCUCUCAUACUCAAAUUCAAUAAGCGGAAUUUUCACAUGUCAAUAGAAUUUGAACCUGCAUAGUUUUGGGCACUCUCCACCUCAAAUUCGCUCAAUGUUUUUUCCUGCGUUUAAGCGAAAUUACAUGCAGAUUUUGGAGUACUUUCGGGCUUAAAAUUGCUCAAAGAAAUUUCCCUAUGGCAAGCAAAUUUAAGCUACAAUUGUUUGGGUGUUCUUUGCCUCAAAUUCGUUGCCUCAAAUUCGUUCAGCGAAGAUUUCUCUGGGCUUAAGCCCCAACUUCAUGGGCUCGAGCCAUUUUGACAACAUUUGUCAUCUUUGCUUAGAUAUCUUUUGGUUUGUUUUCUAUAGGUCAUGAAAUUGAAUUAAAUCUUUUGAAAUUUAACAUGUGUUUAAAAUAAGUAAAUCUAACAUUUAUAAUCAUGCAACAUGUGUUUAAUUUAUAAAAAAAAUAUAAAACAAAUACUCAUUAUAUAUUCAAUUGAUAUGUAAAAUUUUAAAUAUUAUGUGAUUAUUGUUGAUAUUUUGUAACGGUUUUAAAAAUAUAAACUUCUAUAUGAUUGAAUGAUAUAUUAUCGAUACAUAGUAAUUUCAAGUAAGGAAAUACUUUGUUAAGGAUAGUUAGGAUGUGUCUUGAUUAGUAAUACAUUUAGAAUAAGAUAUUUGACUCUAUUCACAUAUUAAGGUGGUGACAGUCAAAUGAGAUUUAUAUGAUUUGAUCUACAAUAUAAAAAAUCAUAAUCUAACAUGCCAUAUGAAUUAACCUUGUCAUAUUAGGUGAUUCUAUUAUGAUAUUCUUAUUCGCAUAGAUGUGUGAAUUUCACAAUGGGGUAUUAUAACAUGUGCAAAUUUUUUAGUCUAAAUCAAUGUACGAUUCUUUCAGAAAUAGGGUCAAGUGUACAUGUGGAUCUAAUUAGAUUUUUGACAUGAGUAAUAUGGAACACAAGUCAUUUAGAGACACUUAAUUGUUUAAUAUAUUAGGAAUGAAUGAAGUGUGAUUAUUCAUAUGAUUAUGAUUGAAUGAUUCAAAUAUAAAUUUUAAAAAUCAUUAACUUAGCCUAAUUUCUUGUUAGUAUCAUUUUUUUGUUAGUAUCGUUUUUUUUUUAGAUUUGUUAUGAUCGUGAGUUACAUGUGAACAUAUGAUGUUGUAUGUUAUAGGCCUCAAAAUUGAAAAUGAGAGAGUUUUUUCUUUUAAUUCUUUUGAUGUUUUAUUUUGAUGUAUAUAUUUGAUUAUGAUAUAAUAAUAUUACAAUGUAAAUGUUAUUUAUAUACUAUCACAUGGUAAAUUAAAAUUUAAUAAGGUAGUUAAGGAUGUUAUAAUUAUUCUUUUAAUUUAUUUUAUUUCACUGUAUAUUUAGGUGUAUUACGUAAAAUGUAUAGUUAAAAAAAAUAAUGUUAUUUUGAAAUUUAAGCUUUUGUUAAAAUUAUACCAUUUGAAAAGGAACACAGAACAAUCUUGACAAUUAUACUGACUUAGUACUUAUUUUAAUUUAUUAUAUUCAUGAGUAUUAUUUUUUUCUUAAACAUAAAUAUUGGAUAAAAAAUAUAAAUAACAUUUAUUUAUUUCAAAUUUAAAAAUCUUUAAAAUAAAUAUAAAUAAUAUUUUUAAUCAAGAUGUGUUUUUUAACAAUUUUUUUUAAUUUAAAAAUAAUUAAUUCGGACGAUGAUUAAAGAAAUAUUAACAAAUUAUUUCUGCGAUUAUAAUAAACCUUCAAUAAUUUUUGCACUUUCUAGCAUAUAGAAUAUGGAUCCUUUUGUGAUUUUUCUUUUCUAAAGUACAAUUGAUAUUUUAAAUGUUUUUCUAUUUAAUUUUCCUUUCUUAAUGCACAUAAAAAUUUCAGUGCACAAUUAUUACUCACCUUAAUUCAAAAUGGAAAUUAAAAUUCAAGAACCCUACUUAUAUAUUAAUAUUCAACGAUUUAAAAUAUUAGUAUGCAAAUUAAUCUUUCUUAAUAAUAUUUGUAACAAUUUUUAAUAAUUCAAUGUGAAAUAUGUAAUAAUUACUUUUCUAUGAUUCAGAGGGAAAAUUAUUCCAACUAGACUUUUACAAAUAUAUUUCAAGUGGUAAUAUGAUUUUAAACAAAAAUAGUAUUCUCCACAAAAAUAAAUAGUUACUGUUCCUAAUUAAACAAGUCACAUUCUUGAACAAAAUAUCAAAUAACAAGGAAUUAGACUAUGAAAUGAUGACCAAUUAUAUUAAACAACAUAACAUACAUUUCUCAAUGUACACAAGGUAUAAAUAAUACAAUAUCAUCCAAAACCUGUGUUCACUAUGUAAAUAAACCAUUUUUUUUGCCAUUACCUCUUUCAUGAUGAUGAUUUGUUUACUAGGGAUUGCAAUGAUAGGUCAUGAUCAAAACUUAGGCCUAAGACUAAAAAUAGAAUGAAAUGAGCAUGAAAAUAAAGAUAACUUUUGAGUGAGACACAUUCUUCCUUACAAGCAGCAAGUUCUUCCAGGUUAUCUUCUCUUCCUUCAACCGUAGCUGUGCAACCGCCUGUUGUUCAUUGCCACCAAUAUCUCUAGUGCCAAAACUAUGUUUUCCAAAAUUAGAGUUAUAUGGCUUUAUCUGUGAAGUCUUACCAGCCAUAAUGUUUUAUUUUACUGUUUUGUUGUAAUCAUGCCAAUAGAUAAAUCGUGGAUUUGUAAACCACGAAACACCAUUGAGUAUGCAAAUGGGUUGAAUGUGUUUUUGGAUAUUGCAUUUCAACAUGCUAAUGGUCCUGUAAUUAAGUGUCCAUGUGCAAAGUGUGGUUUCAAAAAGUGACAAACAAGGGAUGUAAUCCAAGAACACUUAACAUUUACAACUUUCCCUCAGAACUACAAAACUUGGUAUUUGCACGGUGAAAGACCAAGUGUAAUUGAGCCUAUGGUCACUACAAGUGUGCAUGUCAUUGAAGAUUUAUUUGAAUCUCAAAAUACAAUGGAAGACAUGUUGAAUGAUGCAUUCGAGUUUGCGGGACAUGAUGAGGAUACUGAAGUUGAUGGUUUGCAAACUAAUAUGGUGGGUGAUGAAGGAAUAUGAACUUUGAUGAAUUGAUGAGGGACAAUAAUGAACCCUUAUAUGAAGGUUGUACAAAGCAUUCGAAGUUAUCAUUCAUGUUGAAGUUGUACCAUAUCAAAUGCAUGAGUAGAAUGAGUGACAAAGCAAUGACCAUGAUUCUAGACUUGCUAAUGAACACAUUUGAACAUGCUAAGUUUCCUAACUUGUUUUAUGAGGCGAAGACUGUGAUUACCAAACUUGGACUUAAUUAUGUCAAAAUACCAGCUUGCCCAAAAGACUGAAUGCUAUAUUGGGGCGAAGACAAUGAAGGCUUAGAAGAAUGUAAACGGUUCAAAACGUCUAAGUGCAAAAAAAAAAAAAGAUAAGAAGCAAUUGCAUUACUUUCCAUUAAAACUGUGAUUGCAAAGAUUGUUUAUGAGUUCUAAGAUGAUUGAGUCUAUGACAAGGCAUGCAUCAAAGGAUAAUCAAGAUGGAUUGAUGAGGCAUCCUAGAGAUUCUGAGGCUUGCAAAUCAUUUUAUUGCAUCCAGAAUUUGUAAAUGACCAUUGAAAUGUACGAUUAGACUUAGCUGCUUAUGGCUUUAAUCCUUAUGAAAACAUGAGUAAAAACCAUAGUAUAUGACGAGUGGUUAUCAUCCCAACAAUCACCCUCCUUGGGAGUUAUGAAGCAAACAUCUUUUAUCCUCUACAUGAUAAUUUCUGGAAAACAAAUGGUAGAAAAUGACAUUGAUGUUUAUUUAAAACCACUUAUAAGCAAAUUGAAGGAGUUAAUAGUAUGAUCAUGUAAUUAUUAUUUAUAUACUAAAUAUUACGACAUAUAGUAAUUUAAAAUUUGAUAAGGUAGAUGAGGAUAUUAAAAUAUCUCUUUUAAUUUAUUUUAUUUUAUUGUAUAUUUAGGUGUAUUAUGUAAAAUAUAUAAUUAAAAAAAAUAAUGUUAUUUUAAAAUUUAAAGAAUCACGUAUAGAAAGAAACAUAUAACAAUCUUGACAAUUAUAUUCUGACUUAGAGAUACUUAUCUUAAUUUAUUAUAUUCAUGAGUAUUAUUUUUUUCUUAAACAUAGAUAUUGGAUAAAAAAUAUUAAUAAUAUUUAUUAUUUAAAUUUUAGAAAUAUUUAAAAUUAAAAUUAAAAUUAAAUAAUAUUUUUAAUUAAAAUAUGAAAAAAAUUCCUUAACAAUUUUUUUAAUUUCAAAAUAAUUAAUUCAGAGGAUGAUUGAAAAAAUAUUAACAAAUCAUUUCUGCGUUUAUAAUAAACCUUCAAUAAUAUUUGUACUUUCUAUCAUAUAGAAUACUUAAUGGAUCCUUUUGUGAUUUUUCUUUUCUAAAGUACAGUUGAUAUUUUAAAUGUUUUUCUAUUUAAUUUUCAUUUCUCAAUGACAAAUAAAAUGGUUCAGUGCACAAUUAAUUAUUCUCACCUUAGAUUUCAUUCAUCUCAUUCCAUUUCCACACUCAAAUCAUUCUCACAUUUUUUUCUACCUAUUUCACAAAGUUUUUGUUAAAAUAUGGAAAUUAAAGUUCAAGAACCCUACUUAUAUUUCAUAUUCAACAAUUUAAAAUAUUAAUAUGCAAAUUAAUAUUUCUUAAUAAUGUUAUUUUUAUGUAAAAAUUAAAAUGUAGUUUAGUCAUUCAUACUUAGAUGGAUAAAAAUGGUUUUAGAAAGAAAAAAAUAUGCAUUUUUUUGAAAGGUUAUCUAAACUCUAAACUCAUUGAUGAAUUAAUAAUAAUAAAUAAUAUGGAAUUCUAUACGAAUAGCAUAUAAAUGUUUUCUUGUUGAAACUGAUAAUUAAUUCAGUCUAGGGACAAUUAUCGCGGUAUUUGUUCUUUUAUUUUUAAUGUUUAAACAAUUAUAAAAUUCUGUUUUUAGAUAUUAAAAUGAUAGUUUUCAUUUACAGAUUAAAAUAUUACUUGUUUCUUUUAAGAUUUUUUGUAUUAUAAUUAUUUGUUGUCUGAAUUGUUUUGAUUUAACAUGUUGUUUUCUUGGGCUAUGAUAUUGUGAGGUUUUAUUACAUGCAGGUACGUGAAUAUUUUUUUUAUCCUAGUUGUAUAAAUCAGGAAAAUUGUUUUUCACAUUAUAAUAACCGUUUAACAACUCUAAAUAAUAAUAAAAUAUUAACUCAUAUUGUUUAAUUAAAGUAUAAAUUAAAUUAUUAAAUAAAAAAGUAGUAAAACUGGUUGCAGGAUGGGAAUAUGAUUAUUUUUAACUGCUAGCUCCUGAUUAUUCUUUUCUAAUAAAAAAAACACCAAUAGCAACAAAACAAGUUUUGACACACGUAGGUUUGGCAAUUGUUUUAAUAGCUGAAAAUAGUACAACAAUUUUUAAUUACCACAAACUGCAUCUUAAAUCAUAAAAAAUUAGCAUUUUGUUAGUUCAUAUAUAAUAAAAUUUCCAUAAAACAGCCAAUUGUAUUAAUUAUUAAUAAUGUAUUUACAAUUUUUUUAGAUAAUUUUUUUACUAUAAAGACAUUUAUUUGAGAUUGAAAUUGUAAUUAACACUUUUUGGUCAAAGAAUAAUAUAUUUCACUUGAUUUUUUGUAUUAAAUAUUUUGUAUAGCGCUGAGACAAAAAAAAAUCUCAUAUAAAUCCCUAUGUGCUACAAGUACAAUAUAACAUCCUUAAUGUAAGCAAUAAAAAUGAUGAAUACUCAAAGUCGUGUAAUUACGCAAAAGAAUCAAGUGAUUUUUAAAAGAACUCACAUGAUCAGUUUAAAUUUUGACGAUAAAAUACAUUAAUUAUAUAUAUUUAUUCAAAAUUUCAAUUAUAUUAUGCAUUAAUGGUUUUAUGCUUUUAGAGGAAUCAGAGAAACUUAGAAAAGCUCCUAAAAACUAAUGUAACCCUAUGAAUAGAAGAGAGCUAAAAGAAAGAGAAAAUGGAAGUGAGAAAAGAUGAUAAUUAAUAAACACGCUCUCUUCAUAACAUAGAGUCUUUAAACCUAUAUUCCCUCAAACAAUUAUAAAGAAUUAACAAUCACACUUUUAUAAGUCAUCACCCACAUGAAACAAAACAAGGUGCCUCAAUAUGAAUAAACCAAGAUUAAUAAGAAAUAUGAGGUUUCACUAACCAAGCUCAGAAUUUUCUGCUUUUAUAGCUCCAUGCACAAACCUAAUACAAUGAUAUGAUAUUCACUGCAAAUGCAACCCAAAUAUGCUAAAGAAGUUAAUGAAACCCAAAUAUAAAGAAUUUGAAGAGAAUGCAACUCUGGGACAACAGAGCACACCAUCUCAUGCUGAACAGAAACAUCAAACUAUAUCUAACAAUAACUAUACCUAUGUUUGCUUUGGGUCUGUUUUUAGUUUCAAUGUUACUCUUUAUCUGCAGGUUGGGAACAUAUCUUGAUGAAAUAUAGAAACAUUUUUAUUCAUAAUAUAUAUAAGGAUUACACAUUCAUAAUUAUUUCUUUCUGUCGUAGCAUUGUCUACCUCAAAUCACUGCAACUUUCUGUUGUUGGUAUUUGCAUAUCACGAUGGUUAUUGAGAAAUUUAGGAGUUUGCUGUUGUGUACCAGAAGUAAAAUAGAAGGUUCAUUUUUUGGUCAUCAUCAAUUAUUAAUGUAAAUAGAUAUAGGUGAAGGAGAUCAGUAUUAUGCAUUGUAUCAUGGACCAUUAGAAGACUAGGGUCACCAAUUGGAGGCAUUGGUAACUUUGGCUAGUAAAACUAAAACCAAAGUCCAUUUUUACAAAGCCUUGGUCUAAUUCACCUUAUAGCUGUACUUUUUCCUCCAUUUUAAUAAUAUUAAGUUUUCAUUUUCUAUGCAUAAUCUUGGGUAAUUUUCUUUUUAUAUCAAUGCUUGAAGUGUCAAAUUGUUACAAGCUGGAUUAUUAAGAAAGAAAAGAGUGCAUUCUGGAUGCUCGAAAGGGAGUGUUUCCUAGAAAAAAAAUGUGAUUUCAGGGUGUCCAGGCUCAGGUAGCAAUGGUAGGAGUUCCACAUUGAAAUGGAUGAACUACUUGAUUUAGUACUUUGGGACUCUCUCACCUAAUGGACUAGUAUUUUGGGUUAGCUUCUCUCCCCUUAAUGCUUAAGUCCUAAAAAACAGUUUUUCUGUUUCUAUUUAUCUUUUAGGGUGUGAUUAGGACCAUGAAGCAGUGGGUGUUUUUUCCAUUAAUGAACUUUGCCACUGCCACAGAUCACCUAGGUUAACCUAAUUAAGUCUUCUGAAUUGUAUUUUGUAAUUAAUUCUUGUAAAACAUGGAGUGUAAAAUUCAUGUACAUUUUUCUUUUCCUCUUUUGAUUUGGAUGUCAAACUAGCAACUUCAUGUUUUGUCUGGUUGGUCUAUCACAUUUAUGUAGGUUGUAAUCUAUUUUGCCUAAUGCAUCAGUUGCAGAUAGGUACUAAAUUAUCUUAGUUCGGAUACACCUUGCCAAUUAGAUUAAGAUCAAGAAUUUAAAGUGAAUGGUUCACUUCUGAGUUCUUAAAUGAGAUAAAAUGUUCAGAGAUACUAAAUCAUCGCCUUCAUUUGAAAAUUGGCGUGCCUAUUAUGCUUUUGAGAAAUAUUGAUCAAACCAACGGUCUUUGUAAUGGAACAAGGUUGCAAGUUAUUGAUUUGAAGAAAAUGUUAUUUGUGCAAUAGUUCUAACAGGAACAAAUAUUGGUGAUAAAAUCUUCAUUUCAAGAAUGAAUUUGAUCCCUUUAGAUGUAGGUAUGCCAUUCAAAUUCCAGAGAAGACAAUUUCCAAUAGCUUUAUGUUUUGCAAUGACAAUUAAGAAAAGCCAAGGUCAAUUAUUGACCAAAGUUGGUUUAUAUUUUUCACAUCCAAUUUUCACACAUCGAUAGUUGUAUGUAGCUAUUUAUAGAGUUCGAAAGAAAAAAGAUUUAAAAAUUCUAACUCUUGAUGAAGAUGGAAUGCAACAAACAAGAAAAAGAAAAUGUUUACACUGAAAUUUUUGACAAUAUUUGAAAACAAUAGAAUUAUAUGAUAAACUUGGAAUGGCUAAUUCUCCCUGCAACCAAUAUUUUUGAACCUGCAACUUUUAAAUUUUUGAAAAUGCUCUUUAUUCCAGAAAUGAAAAUAAUACAUUACAAAAAAAAUAGAUCCAAAAAAGAUUAUUGUGUUUUGGUAAUAAAAAUCGGAAAACAAAAAUCAAAAGCCCAUUAUGAAUAAGAAAAUUCGUAAUACAAAAAAUUUGGUCUUAAAAACAAAAUCUGAAAACAUAUUCCAGAAAGAAAAUCCGAAAUGUAUUUUUAUAUAUAACCCAUUUUUUCAAGGGAGUUUCGUCUUUUCUAUUGUAAAAGGGGUUGGAAUUUGCUCCCUUGGAAUUAUAGUUUCUUAUGUGUGAUGUAGUAACAGUUGCCUUAUUUAAAAUGUUACUAAAUAACAUAUAAUUUAUAUCUGUUAUUUUUAUUCUGUUAUGACUUUAUAUAUUUGUCACAACAUGAAUGAGGCACAAACCCAUCUCAUGUUAACGAAGUUGAGAAUUUUCUGAUUUUACAGGUCCAUGCAAAAAUCUAAUAUAAUGAUAUGAUAUUCAAUAUCAAGAGGUACUUGUCGUAAAACGGGGAAUAUGAGAGACUCCAUAGAAUGAAGAAAAAGUAUAAAGAGGAUUUACAAAUUAACCUUUCAAAUGCAGCUCCUCAGAAUUUCAUAAUGCCUUCACUGCAAAUGCAACCCAAAUAUGCUAAAGAAGUUAAUCAAACAAUACAUGAGGAGUUUCAAGAAAAUGCAACUCUGGAACAACAGAGCAACCCAUCUCAUGCUGAACAGAAACAUCAAACUAUAUCUAACUUAGAAAUCUUUGUCAACAAUUGAACGAACCCACUCCUUAAAUACCAUUGAAAAUGUAAAUAAAACAAAAUAAAUUAAAAACGAGAAAUUCAUAAUAAAAAUUAAACGUGUUGAACCCUGUAAUUUAGAAGUAUUAACGAUAAGGCAGUUUAGAUCCUCACCAAUGAAAGAGACUAGCUGACUAGGUAGCUUUCGGCCUUCCUCUUCCUAUCUUCCCUUGUUUCUCUUGAAGACUCUGCAAUAUUGCUUCCAUUGGAUUGUUCAAAGUCAACAGCACCACCAUAUUUAUCAUCUUUCUUUUUCGUAUAAAGAGGGCAUAUGCCGCAUUCCUUUAUUGUGAUACCUGAUUUCAACCGAAAGUGAUAAUCACACGGACUGAUAAGUGAAGCUGCGAGCAUCACAGAUUCUAAGGCUCAUGCCGCUCGCCCUUAGGAACUCCAAGUUAAAUUUCCACACGAAUGUGUGAUCUUGAUCAACACAUCUCUCUUCACCAUUCGAAAUAGCUGUUUAACACAUCUAUCAUCGCUGCAGAAACUUAAAUCUUCAUUUAUAGUCACUGAAUGUCCCUUCCCACGAAAAUGGAACCAACCAGGAACUGCAGUCCCUGGAAAACAGAAGAACACAGACCUAUAUCUAUCGUCGGUCAUCCUAAGCCUUGCAUCCUCCUCAAUGUUAGCACGACCACCUGAAUCCAGUUGCUGAGCAUUGGUGAAAUGAAAUUUGAAUACACCCUCUUUGGAAUUUGAGAGGUUUCGAACAAGAGAAUUUGGCAUCACUCUUCUAAUGGAUGGGCAAUCCAAUGCCACGAGUUGCUUUAGAAAUGGUGGAAUCUGUGGGAUGCAUUCAAGCUUUUUGCAGUCGCUUAAAUCAAGCGAUUUCAAGCUUGAAAGAUGAGCAAUGCUCUCAGGAAGGUUCACGAUUCCGCUAUCACGCAGUGAUAGUUCCAUUAAUAACGUCAAACGACCAAUGUGUCUUGGGAUUUCUGUUAAUUUGGAGCACCCCGAACAAUUUAGAGAGAAGCUUCAGAUUAACAAUGGAGUUUGAAAGUGACUCGAUAUCAGUGUAUUUCUGAAGCUCCAAGGAUCGAAGAUUAACGAAAUUGCAAAAUGAGGAAGGCAACUGCGCAAACUCAGUUGUUGAAGCCCUACCAAACGGCACAAGGAUGAAGGUAGUGCCUGUAUGGCUGUGGCGUCUAAGAUGAGCACCGCUAGAUCUUCCAACGUGUCCUGAAUCUGGGGUAAAUUUUCCAAUUUUGAGCAACCACGGAGAGAAAGUUGCUUUAGGAAUUUCAUAUCAGAAAGGUCAAAUGGAAAGAUUGUAAGGGAAGAACAGUAAGAGAGAUCUAAAUGACAGAGCUUCUUGCAACUAAAGUGUAAGGGCACACCUUUCAUGAAUUUUGUCAACACUUCUAAGUAUAUAGUAUUAUUAGCCACUUCUUCUUCUUCAUUAUAUCUGUCAAAAGUAAUUGAGGAAGUUGGGAAAAUAUGACCACUGUAUGCACGAGGUUCACCACGCCGUCCUGCACCAUGCCGUUCUGAGAAAUUUAUCUCUUUGAUCAUAUCCGGUUUCUGGCGAUGGAAUCUUGAGAAAGUUUGACGUUGACGCUCCACGCUCCAGUAUCACAUGAGGGAAUCUUGAGAAAUUUCCACGUUGAUGCCCCAGUUUCUGAUGUGGGUAUCUUGUGACGCUCCAGUUUCACAUGACGAAAUCUGGGUUCACUGGUUGAAAACAUAUUAAGCUUCCCACAACAGGAAAUAUUAAUCCAUCCUUGUAAUGUGGAUAAAAUGUUGCUGGGAAUAUUUAUACUAUUCAGAUCAUAACAAUUAUCUAAACAUAAAUAACUGAGCUUGCUGAGUAAUAUCGAAGAGUGAACUUUAAUCAACUUUCCACAAUAACUCAGAAUUAUUUCUUCAAUAUUUGGUAAGAGAGAAAAGUCUGGUAUUCUAGUAAGUUUCCGAGAACCACUCAGGUCAAGCCUUUUCAAGUUUGGUAAAUUCUGCCACAAAUAGUAAAUGAAUCAGGUAACAAAUAAAAACCACUGUUAAAAAAAUCACACUCUGAACUAACAAAACUGUGGCUAUUCACUAUCAACAAUCCCUCUCAAAUACACUUCUACUAAUACAUUAACAACAAUAUCAUUAUAUUAACCAUAAAAUAUUACAUUUCUUCAGUUAAUACGUAGGACAAUAUAAUAAUCAGGUCACUCAGCUAAUGAAAAAAAUUAAACAACAUGAACUCAAUUAAAUAAUAUAAAACUUUUGAGUACUAGAUAAAAUAAGAAAAUUAAUAAAAAUUCAAUUUGAAAAUAAUCAAAUUUAUAAGAUACUUAAAACUUAAUUAAACCUACAAAUUUUCAUUAUAUGGAGUUAAAUACUAUAAAUAUUUACCACAUAAGUAGAAUGUUUAAAUAUAUAUUUCUUCACGUUGGAAGUUUUUUUCCUCUAUCUUAUAAGUUUUCUUUGUUUCUUUAAUAUUUUUUAAGCCAAUGUGAUUUUUUUAAUAUAAAAUAUUAUUAAAGAUAAAAUAUGAAGAUAGGGUAAUUAAAUAUAAUUUUUUAUUUUUUAGAAAUGAUGAAAAUUAUAAUUAAAUUAACUAAAUUAUAUAAAAUUCUAUUUCAUUUACAUAACUACUUUUCAUAUUAAAAAAACUAUAUAAGAUCUUGAAACUAUAAUUAAUAUUUCUACUCAUUUUUCGUUUUUGUUGGUGAAAUCUUGAUUUUGGGAUAGUAUUAGUGAGAUAUUGUUUGGAGUUAAAAACAAGAAAUUCUUUUGCAUAAUCAAUUUGAACAGUUUUGAUUUUGAAACCAGAUUUUCAGAGAAGAGUUUAAAGCGUUCAAAUGCAGCAAGAGCUUGAGAUUUAGCAUGCUAGAGAUAAAUUCAUGUAUAUUUUAAAUAUGCAUUAGGAAAAGAGAUAUCGUAUGAUGCAACAUUAUUAGCACAAACAACAAACAGCAGAACGUCCCCAAAUAUCAAUAUAGAUAAAUUCUAAAAGGUGAUUAUCCACACUGUUUUAGAACAACUUUGAUUACAGAAAAACUAUAACGCCCAAGUCUAUUAUGCCACAAGUGAAAAGAAGUUUUUUCAUAUUUAAAAGAUGUGUAGUUAGCAGAAAAAACAGAGGAUCAGAGAUCAAGAAAGACAGAGAGAUCAUCUUUAAGUGUGCCUUGUAGAAGAAUCUGUUUAGUUACUUAGUCUUUAACAUAGCAAGAAUGAGGGUGAAAUUCAAAAAACACAUUGUUGUUACGAGCAAACUUUGAAACACUAAGCAAAUUCUUAGUAUAAUGAGAAACAUGUAAAAGAUCAAGGAGAGAGAAGGAAGUACAAGAGGUAGACGACACACAGGAAGCAGAACCAAUGUGGGAGAUUUUUAUACCUGCACCAUUACCAAGUUUAACGUUCGCAAUGCCAUGAUAGAUUUGUUGAUCAUUGAACAGAGUAUGGUCGUUUGUUAUAUGGUGAGAGACACCGCUAUCUGGGUACCAUAAUGGAUCUUCUAAAGAUGAUGGUGGACCAAGAAGAGAGUAAGAAGAGUCAUCACGUGGAGGUGGAGAGAAAUGAGAUGUGUUUGCAGAGGAGGAUGGUGGUGUAGUACGAUCAAACCAGUGCCAACAAUGAAGAGCAGUGUGUCCAAGUUUGGAGCAUAUUUGACAGCGAACAGGGUUGCGUUUCCAUGAUGAAGACGUAGUGGAGUUCCAAGAAGAGUAUUGGGAAGGUCGGGGUUUGCCGCGGUUGAACUGAUUCUAGUUAGAUGUGGGAUUGUAACCACGACCACCACAGGAGGAGUUGGAAAAGGGGAGGUGGAGAGAAAUGAGAUGUGUUUGCAGAGGAGGAUGGUGGUGUAGUACGAUCAAACCAGUGCCAACAACAAUGAAGAGCAGUGUGUCCAAGUUUGGAGCAUAUUUGAGAGCGAACAGGGUUGCGUUUCCAUGAUUACGACAGUAAUAAAUGUAUUAUAUUCUUCAGAUAGCCUUCAAGGAUGAUGUCAAUAUGAUCAGUGGAAACAGGGGCAUCAAUAGCGGCAAGCAUGUUGACGGCGUUCUUGAUAUCAUGGAGAUAGGAGGAGAUGGAUCUGUGAUGACCUGAUUUUGUUGUUGGUACCAUUAGAGACUUGGGGACUGUCAUCAGUGGUGGAAGAAGUGGUUCUUGAUGGAACACUAGUGUCGUCAAGAAAAUGACCCAGUUUGAGCCCGCAAAUGGAGGCAAGGACUUGAUGUUUCCAGAGAAGAUAGUUAUCUUCAUCUAGUUUAAGAGUGAUGGGUGUUGUGAACUGUUGAACGGAAGGCAUGACCAGAGGUAACGGGCAAGAAGAAGAUGCAAAAGAAGAUGAAGAGAUAUGAGUGCAGUGCAUUAGAAUAGAGAGAGAAAGGAGAAAGAUAUUAUCUUAGUAUAUGUGCUAAAGGUAUAUAAGGAGUGCAGAACUGGAAACACUUACAAAGUUGUCGUUACACAGUUAUAGUAUGGUUAACAAUGUAUAAUACAGAAAACAUGCUUGUGUACUUUAUUUUUAUCUUUGAAAGUUUAGAACACAGAGGAACAUAGAUAGCUAGAAAAACCUGAUCUCCUUCCCAGAGUUGUUCAAGAUGGCAGCCUGGCAUUUCCAGGGUCACAGUCUGGCAUUUCCAGGGUCACUAGAUUUUGUGGGCAAAAGUUUGGAGGCCAGAAUCUUUGAGGGAAACCGUUCCAAUAAAGAAACUUUAGAGUGUCUGGCAGACCUACAAGAGAUGAUUCAAGAGACACAUUUGAUAUGAAUAUAGGCAUGUAGACCAUAAGCAUCAUAAGAUUGUCCAUCUUUUCGAAACUUUGUGCAUGUACUACAGCAUCUUUUACUUUGUUCGUAUGUAGUAAUAUACACUGUAUUGCAUCUGACCCCUGAAAGUAAAUCAAUUUAAUUAGGAGAAAAAAAACAUGAAAUGUUGCAUUGCAGGAUGUUUAAUGACAUCUCAGUGGUUUGCAAUUUUUUACAAAGUAAAUCCAUUCUCAAUUGAGUAACGACAUAAUACCUUGUUCUUUCUUAAAACCUCUCAAAUUUCCUCAGCAUUAAACAAUCGGCUGCGUUUUCCAGGAUGCUGAGGACACUCUUUACGAACAAUUUCUUGACUCAUUUCUNNNNNNNNNNNNNNNNNNNNNNNNNNNNNNNNNNNNNNNNNNNNNNNNNNNNNNNNNNNNNNNNNNNNNNNNNNNNNNNNNNNNNNNNNNNNNNNNNNNNGAUCCAUCUUUUUCUGCUGCUACCAUGUCGAACUCCCUUCAAAUCAAUACAAUGUCUUCACCAUCAAUCAGCCAAGUGAUUAAUGUUAAACUCACACAAGAAAAUUAUUUAUUGUGGUCUGCUCAAAUCCUUCCCUAUUUACGUAGUCAGGGGCUGGUUGGGUUUGUGGAUGGAUCCAUGCCACCACCAAACCAAACGAUUACGGUUGAGUCAAGUGAAGAAACAGGGAGCCGCAAAAUCCUGAAUUCACAGUCUGGUACCCCCAGGACCAGCUGGUACUCAGUCUCAUCAACUCAUCGGUUACCGAGGAAGUUCUCAGCACGGUGGUCGGAAUCACCACUGCACGAGAAGCCUGGGAUAUGCUGGAGCGGCAAUUUGCCUCCACAUCUCGAGCACGAGCAAUGCAGAAUCAUAUGGAACUCUCCACGAUCCAAAAGAAGGACAUGACAAUUGCUGACUAUUUUCGUAAAGUAAAACGUCUCGGAGACACUCUGGCUGCCAUUGGCAAGCGAGUAGAGGAUGAAGAACUCAUCGCCUACAUGCUGCAAGGACUUGGUCUAGAUUAUGAUCCUCUUGUCACAAGCAUUACAACUAGAACAGAUGUUUACACUGUCAGCGAUGUGUAUGCUCAUAUGCUGAGCUACGAGAUGCGUCAUCUGCGUAAUGGUACUCUUGAGCAAUUUCCUUUUGCUAACAAUGUCAACAGCAUGUCUAAUCGAGGAGGAACUAAUGGACGUCGUGGUGGUCGUGGUCGUCAAUCAAAUGGUGGUCGAGGACAAACAUGGCACACUAGAAACAAUUCUGGACGUCAGCCAUCAAAGGCACAAAGUAACUCAGACAAAGUCUGUCAGAUUUGUGGUAAGCCAAACCAUGAUGCUUUGCAAUGUUGGCACAGAUUUGAUCAGGCAUAUUAAGCCGAAGACAAUCUUAAACAAGCAGUUGUGGCCACAAGUGGAUAUACUGGUGAUGCAAACUGGUACGUAGAUACUGGAGCCACAGAUCACAUCACCAACGAGUUAGAAAGACUUACCACCAACGAACAUUACAAUGGCACUGAUCAGAUUCAAGUUGCAAAUGGCUCAGGUUUUUCUAUCUCUCAUAUUGGGAACUCAUUAAUUUCUGGUUCAUCUAGAUCUCUUGUACUGAAACAUAUCCUAUAUGCUCCUAAAAUCAAUAAACAUCUGAUUUCAGUACAAAGACUAGCAUCUGAUAAUAAUGCCUUUGUGGAAUUUCACCCACACUGUUUUUUUGUUAAGGACCGAGCCACGAAGGAACUUCUGCUCACAAGUAGAUGUAAGAAUGGCCUCUACACUUUACCAAAUAACUCCAGCAAAGCAUUCCCGACAGCCAAACUUUCGAAAGAACAAUGGCAUAGAAGACUUGGGCAUCCUGCUUUCCCAGUCACAAUUAGAAUCUUGAAAAAUAAUAACUUAGCUCUAGAUACUAGAGUUUCUUCUUCCUUAAUUUGCCAUGCUUGUCAACUAGAAAAGCACAUCAAUUACCCUUUGUUUCUUCUCAACAUGUAUCUACAGCACCUCUUCAAUUGAUUCAUACUGAUGUAUGGGGUCCAGCCAUUGUCUUAGUGAAUAAUUCUAAAUAUUAUGUUUCAUUUGUUGAUGAUUUUAGCAGAUAUGUUUGGAUUUAUUUUUUGAAAUACAAGUCUGAUGUUGAGUCUGUGUUUCAUCAGUUUCAAAAACAUGUUGAAACCAUGCUAAACACCAAAAUUCGCUCUGUCCAGUCAGAUUGGGGGGGUGAAUACCAUCGUUUGCACCAAUAUUUCAAAACAACUGGAAUUGAGCAUCGUCUUUCUUGUCCUCACACACAUCAGCAAAAUGGGUUGGUAGAAAGAAAGCACAGACACAUUGUGGAAACUGGCCUUACUUUACUUGCCCAAGCUAACAUGCCUUUGUCCUAUUAGGAUGAAGCCUUCAAUACAGCUUGUUACCUUAUAAAUAGACUACCAUCUCGAAUCAUACAAGCAAGACACACCACUUCAUAAAUUAUUUGCAAAAAAUCCAGAUUACACCAUGCUUAAGGUGUUUGGCUGUGCUUGCUGGCCCAAUUUAAGGCCUUACAACACCAAGAAACUGAGUUUUCGAACCACUAAGUGUGUCUUCUUAGGCUAUAGUUCUUCUCAUAAGGGAUACAAGUGCUUAGAUAGAAGUACAAAACGAAUUUACAUCUCUAGAGAUGUAAUCUUUGAUGAAAAUGUGUUUCCUUUUGAAGAAUUAAAUUCUAAGUCAUCAAUCCAAACCAAAAAUUCACACCAGCCUGCUCUACUUCCAACCUUCGUUAAACCCGUUCCAUACACUGAAAAUGCUCUCACAAAUAUUGAACCAGUUGUUAAUGAUUCUCGUAUAAUUGAUGGUCAAUCUAAUGAUGUUGCUAAUAACAACUUGUCUGGUAUAAGCUUACAUCCUGCAGAUAAUACAAUAAGUCCAGAAAUUGUUGCAGAACAGGAAGCUGAGAACAGUCUGACCAAUUUCCAAGAACAGAUGUUCNNNNNNNNNNNNNNNNNNNNNNNNNNNNNNNNNNNNNNNNNNNNNNNNNNNNNNNNNNNNNNNNNNNNNNNNNNNNNNNNNNNNNNNNNNNNNNNNNNNNGAACAAGAUUGAAAAAUAACAUUGUCCAAGCAAAACAGUUCACUGAUGGUACUGUCAGAUAUUCAGAGACCUCAAGAAAGUUUACCGGUGCUGUCACUGUCAAAAAUCCGACCACAAUAAAUGUACUAAAAAAUGCUACUGAGACUGAUACAGUUACUGAACCUCAAAACCUGCAGGAAGCUCUACAAAGUCCAGGUUGGCAGGAAGCAAUGAAUAAUGAGCUCUCAGCAUUACAACACAAUGAGACUUGGGAUUUCGUUCCACCAAAACCUGGCAUAAAUCUCAUUGAUAGUCGAUGGGUGUAUAAAGUGAAAAGGAAAGCGGAUGAAUCAGUGGAGAGAUUGAAAGCAAGGUUGGUUGCUAAAGGGUUCAAGCAAAGAUUUGGCAUUGAUUACAUUGAUACCUUUAGCCCCGUGGUCAAGCCAUCAACAAUCAAAGUUAUUCUUUCACUAGCAGUAACCAAAGGCUGGAAUAUGAGACAAGUUGAUAUCCAAAAUGCAUUCUUGCAUGGAAUUUUGGAAGAGGAAGUGUACAUGCGACAACCAUCGGGAUUUCAAGACCCAUAUAAACCAAAGGAAUACAUAUGCAAACUCAAGAAAGCGCUUUAUGGCCUGAAACAGGCUCCAAAGGCUUGGCACUCAAGACUGACUGGAAAACUUAUGGAAUUAGGCUUUAGAGCUUCUGUAGCUGAUUCAUCUUUGUUUAUCCUCAAAAACAAAGAGGUAACCAUCUAUAUGCUCAUAUACGUUGAUGAUAUAAUUAUCGUGAGCUCCUCUGAUCAAGCCACCGAAAGGUUGAUUCAGAAGUUGAAAAUAGAUUUUGCUAUAAAAGACUUAGGUGGUCUUGAGUAUUUUCUGGGUAUUGAAGUCAAGAAGGCAAGAGAUGGCAUCACANNNNNNNNNNNNNNNNNNNNNNNNNNNNNNNNNNNNNNNNNNNNNNNNNNNNNNNNNNNNNNNNNNNNNNNNNNNNNNNNNNNNNNNNNNNNNNNNNNNNAAAUUAUUCAAAGAGCAGGGAACACUCUUGUCAAUUGAAGAACAAUUUAAAUACAGAAGUACUGUGGGAGCAUUGCAAUACUUGACAAUGACCAGGCCUGAUUUGGCAUUUGCUGUCAACAAGGUUUGCCAAUACCUUCAUACGCCUACUGAUGCUCAUUGGAGUGUUGUAAAGAGAAUCCUUCGUUAUGUCAAGGGCACAUUAGAUUUGGGAAUCAGAAUUCAGAAGUCUCCAACAAUGCUGCUGUCCGGAUUUUCUGAUGCUGAUUGGGCUGGUUGUCCUGAUGAUCGACGUUCAACUAGCGGCUUUGCUGUAUUUCUUGGAGCAAAUCUAAUUUCUUGGAGCUCUAGAAAACAAACCACAGUGUCCAGAUCGAGCACCGAAGCAGAAUACAAGGCCAUUGCGAAUCUGACAGCAGAAAUGAUUUGGAUAAAAUCAUUAUUGAAAGAGCUUGGUGUGUAUCAAUCAAAAGCUCCUCGACUCUGGUGUGACAAUCUAGGAGCUACAUACUUAACUUCAAAUCCAGUGUUUCAUGCAAGAACAAAACAUAUUGAAGUUGACUUCCAUUUUGUUCGAGAACAAGUGGCACGCAAAGCAAUGGAAGUUCAGUUUAUUUCAUCAAGUGAUCAAGUGGCUGAUAUCCUAACAAAACCACUGUCUAGAACUCUCUUUAUUACACAUUGUAACAAUCUCAACAUGUAUAAAACCUGUUGGGAUUGAAGGGGACUGUUAGAAUUAGUCAGUUAGAAGUGGAACACGUUUGUAGAAGUGGAACACGUUAGUUGGUUAGUUGCCUUAAGAAGCGGAUCAUGGAUCCAACCGUGUAUGCAAUCAGUUACCUUUCUUUAAUUAUAAAUACAAUACGUCCUCCACAUAGAGAGGUACAGUUAGCAAACUUUAUUAGAGCUGAAUCGGUAACAUCAUCAAGAAUGAGGAGAACCUUUGUCCGUUUGAGCCUUUCAUUGUAAUAUGGUGAAGAAGAGGAUUUCUCUUCCUUUAGAAGCUCAGACUGAUAUUUUGUUCUGAUACUGUCUAUUCCAUCUCUUUGUAUUUUUUCUUGAACGUCUAAAACAAGGCUGCUGGAAUCAAACUGCAAUGCCAAUUUGUGAUAUAUUUGAUUACAAAUUGUAGUUUUUCCUAUUCCUCCCAUGCCACAAAUUCCUAUGAUCCGAACAUCCGGUGACUCAAGAUGCAACAAGGACUGAAUUCCUUCAAUAUGUUUUUCAAUGCCGAUGAUUCCUUGAUCAUAACUGAUGGAAUAACGAUUCAAUUUUUUCAACAAGUGUGUGUUCUGUGCUGGCAGAUGAUUUAGAAAAUAAUGUAUAAGUAUUCAAGCACAAAAGCUAAACUAAAGAAAAAUUCUACAGCAUCCGUUUGUGACUUCUGAUACUAGGGAGAAGACUUGUAGGUACAAAGUUAAGCUAUAACAUGUAAUAUGGUUCAGAUCUAAGACCGACUAAUAGAAAUGAAAAAAGAAGCACUUGAUUUAGGGUGAGAUGAACACAAUUUUAGUAAAUGAAAAGAGAUCCUGAUUAUCUGGAAAGUGCGUGACCUGGUGACUUUUGAAUCCCAGCCUGCAAGUUCAGCAGCUUCGGUGAGAGCAUCCUUCCAUCCUUGCACUUUAUCGUGCUUAAAGUGCUGCUCAUGCUUUUCGAAUGCUUCUUUGUAUCUUUGUUCCUGCUUCCUAAUAGUUGAUGGAUCCACCUUGUAGAAAACAGGUAUGACAUCCCUUCCAAAUCUCUUCUUGCAUUCAAGUAUCUUAGUGAGUUCAUUCAAGCACCAAGUGGAAGAUGCAUAGUCUUGGGAGAAAACGAUGACAUAAAUCUUUGAAAAAUAAGUAUGAAAUCUAGAUAUAUAUCAUUAUCACGUGUGGAAGCUACGUCGUCUUGUAUUGGAUUUUCUAAUCUGCCUUUUAUCUUGUCUCAUUCUUCUUUAUCUUUUUUCUCUCAUCUCUCUUGCUUACGAUUUCUUUGCCUUUAUUCAGAAAUUUUAGUUAUAAUAAACCUUCAAUAAUAUUUGUACUUUCUAGCAUAUAGAAUACUUAAUGGAUCCUUUUCUGAUUUUUCUUUUCUAAAGUUCAAUUGAUUUUUUAAAUGUUUUUCUAUUUAAUUUUCCUUUCUUAAUGACACAUAAAAUGGUUCAGUGCACAAUUAAUUAUUCUCACCUUAGAUUUCAUUCAUCUCAUUCCAUUUCCACACUCAAAUCAUUCUCACAUUUGUUUCUACCUGUUUCACAAAGUUUUAGUUAAAAUAUGGAAAUUAAUGUUCAAGAACCCUACUUAAUAUUAAUAUUCAACAAUUUAAAAUAUUAAAAUGCAAAUUAAUCUUUCUUAAUAAUGUCAUUUUUAUGUAAAAAAUAAAAUGUAGUUUAGUCAUUUAUACUUAGAUGGAUAAAGAUGAUUUUAGAAAAAAAAAAUGCAUUUUAUUUCAAAGGUUAACUAAACUCUGAACUCAUUUAUGAAUUAAUAAUAAUAAAUAAUAUGUAAUUGUAUUCCAAUACCAUAUAAAUUUUUUUUAUUGGGUGCGUUUCUGAUGAAUUAAUGCACUCUAGGGACAAUGAUCGCUCUAGUAUUUGAUUUUUUAUUUAUUUUAAUGUUAAAAUUAUAGCUAUGUAGUACAGAUAUUACUGACACAGACAGACACGAACACGGACACAGAAAUACAUAAAAUCUCUAAAAUGUAGAAUACGGAGACAUUAAUCUAUAUAUUAUAUAAUUAUGAAUCAUAUAAAUUAACAAUAAAGAUUUAUGUGCACAAGUAUUUUUGAGAUUAUUUUUUAGAACAGAAAUAUGUUUUUCAUGACUAGUUCACAAAUAUUUGUUUCUUAUUCUUAUAAUCAUAAUAACAAUUUAUACCAUAAAGUUUCAAUUUUAGAAAAUUAAUGUAUUUUUUCUUUUUAAAAUUUCGUUAGAACUGUACUAGAAUUGUAAAAAAUCUAACAAAUACAUUUUGAAUUGGACAUUCCACGAAUACGUGUCCUACCAGUAUUUUGAACAACAUUCUUUCUUUUGGAACAAAGAGGGCAUAUGCCGCAGUCUUUUACUGUGAUAACUCAUUUCAACUCUCACACAACUGAUUCGUAAUCUGUGGGAUGCAUUAAAGCCUUUUGCAGUUAAAUCAAUAGUAUAUGAUGAUGUGAAUGUUAUUUAUAUACUAAAUAUAAUCACAUAGUAACUUCAAAUUUGAUAAGGUACAACAUGUUACCAUAUCUCUUUUAAUUUAUUUUAUUUCAUUAUAUAUUUAGGUGUAUUUAAUUUCUUUUAUUUCAUUGUGUAUUUAGGUGUAUUACGUAAAAUAUAUAAUUAAAAAGAAAGAAGAAUAAUGUUAUUUUGAAAUUUAAAGAAGACAUAUAGAAAUAAACAAGCUUUUGCUAAGAUUCCACCAUUGAAAAGGAACAUAGAACAAUCUUGACAAUUAUACUUUGACUUAUUUUAAUUUCUUAUAUUUAUGAGUAUUAUUUUUUCUUAAACAUAGAUAUUGGAUAAAAAAUACAAAUAACAUUUCUUUAUUUCAAAUUUAAAAAUAUUUUAAAUUAAAAUAAAAUAAUUUUUUAAUUAAGAUAUAACAAAAUAUUCUUUAACAAAUUAUUUUAAUUUCAAAAUAAUUAAUUCAGAGGACGAUUGAAAAAAUAUUAAAUAUUAUAAUAAAGCUUCAAUAAUAUUUGUACUUUCUAGCAUAUAGAAUACUUAAUGGAUCCUUUUAUGAAUUUUCUUUUCUAAAGUACAAUUGAUUUUUUAAAUGUUUUUCUAUUUAAUUUUUCUUUCUUGACACAAAAUGUUCAGUGCACAAUUAAUUACUCACCUUAGAUUUCGUUCUUCUCUUUCCAUUUCCACACUCAAAUCAUUUUCACCUUUUUUUUCUUCUUAUUUCACAAAACUUUAAUUAAAAUAUGGAAAAUAAAGUUCAAGAACCCUGCUUAUAUAUUAAUAUUCAAAAAUUUAAAAUAUUAAUAUGCAAAUGAAUAUUUCUUAAUAAUUUUAUUUUGAUGUAAAAAAUAAAAUGUAGUUUAGUCAUUCAUACUUAGAUGGAUAAAGAUGGUUUUAGAAAAAAAAAAAGAAUAUGCAUUUUAUUUGAAAGGUUAUCUAAACUCUGAACUCACUGAUGAAUUAAUAAUAAUAAAUAAUAUGGAAUUCUAUUCCAAUACCAUAUAGGAUGGAGAAAAGUAAGAAGAGGAUUUACACAUUACCCUUUCAAAUGGAGCUCCUCAGGAUUUCAUAAUGCCUUCACUGCAAAUGCAACCCAAAUAUGCUAAAAAAGUUAAUGAAACUAUAUAUGAAGAGUUAAUGAAACUAAAUGGCGUGUGCUGAAAUUUUUGAUCCGAUAACCAUGCCCACAUUCAAAAAGUGAAAGGUUACUUUGCUUUAUAUUCCUUUGGGUGGUGCUACUUUUCAACUUGACAACAAAUUCCCAUUAUUGUGUGGUUAUCAAUUACCAUUUAACUUAUUCUCAUACCACAUUCACUAUAUAAUAGUCCAUCAUAAACCCCAAAAUUUGCACAUUUUCUAUUUGCAAGACAUCCAACAGACAAAGAAAACAUGUGAAACUGUGUAAUAAUGUGAGAACGUAAGAACUUACUUCAUCAUGAAAUCAAGCCAUGCCUGAGGGUUUUUUCUGAGAGCAUUCACCACAGGUGCAUAUUCAUGUGGCUGUAUCCCAUACUCAGCUAGUAUUUCUGCUACCUCUGCCGCUUCUUUUUUUGUCAAAAAACACAUAUUCAUUAUUAAUGUGCAAUCAAAUGGUAACGAAACUAUGUAGUACAAACACACACUGAUACGACACUAGGACGAACAUACGUAUAAUGUUACUCCUUCUAUGGAAAUGAAGGAUAUUCAGCAAUAACUUUUAAAACUCAUUACAUAGAAAUUUGCAUCAAGUUAUCAAAGUCUAUAGGAAUGAAUUUUCAAUUCAUGGAAACACAGAUAACAAAAAGUAAUAGAAAAAUAGAAAAAAAGUUGUCAAAUGAUUCUAUAAAAAAUUAACCUAUCAUGAAAAUCAAGAUGAUAGAAAAUAAAAUAAUGUGGCAUGAACAUCAAAAUCGUAUAAAAGCAUAAUAGAAGAACAGUGGAUACCAGUUUCUGGCACGGCGAUGAUUUCUUCUUGCUCUCUUUUCAAUUCCCUCGAGUAAUUAUCGGCUUCACUUUUUGCUGCCAAAUAACUGCACAAUGAAAAUUAACAUGAAAUAAUAACGGAAUUUAAAUUGAGUUUUGUGAGUGUGAAGAGUGUGGUUGAACGUACCCGCCGAGGCCCAUGGAGAUGGCGCCGGCGGCGACUUCCGCUAUGCCAGCGGUGAGAACGAUGGAGGAGGUGACAUUGGCGCCGGAGAGGCCGGCGGCGAGGGCGAAGGGGACGGUGAGGCCGUCGGAAACGCCGAUGAUGAUGUCGCGGACUAUUUCGCCGGCGGUGAAGUGCUUCUCGGUGUGGUGGUUGAGAAGGUUCGUUCUCUCAGAAUCCACGCUUAUGCCGUGUUCGGUGGCGGCCAUUGGUGCAAGCUUGUGAAUGUGUUUGAGUUCGCCAACGUGCUCUGGGAAUCCAAACAAAGCCUUGCUGCUUUGCACAUAAAUUGAGCCUCUUUUGUGCUCAACUUACUCCUAAAUAGAACAAAAAUAUCUAACCGUUGAUGAUAUCCACGUGGAAAAUUAUCAAUGGAUAUCAAUAUCACAUUAUUUCUACACUAAUAUUUUAAUUAUUUUUAAAUAUUAUAACUAAAUCAAUCAAUAUAAUACCAAAUCUUCUUAAUUCUUUGGAUUAUAUAUAUUUUAUUUUAUUUUAUUUAUAAAGGAAGUUGUGAUAAAUGUUGUGUUUUGUGUGCACAUUAAUAAAAAUCAAAUAACCAAAAAAUAAUAAUCUUGUGAAAGAAAAAAUGGUAGAAUUUAUACUAUUCUACAAAAUUUUAAAAGUGGCUAAUGUGUUUUACUCAACUAUGUAAAUAAUUUUGGACUCUCUUGUUAAGGAAAUAAUGAAAUACAUUAAAUUUUGUUUUAUACUCUUACUUUAAGUUUUUUUGUGUUUCUCCUGACUUAAUUAAAUAUCAGAGAGUCGUCUUUUGCAGGUAGAUUUCAUUCUAUCAUAAUAUACCAACUGAAAACUUGUUUUCUGAAAAACACACGGCUCUCACCGAAUUGCACUUUCCAAUUUUUUUUAAUAGAAAUAAUAAUAAUUAAGUAUUUGUGUUCUUAUAUUUAAUUUUUAAUAAAAAAAUUAUUCUUAUGUACUUCUAAAUUGAUAUAUUUUACCAAUGUCUAUUAACAAUGGGAAGAAGUUUAUACCUAACAAAACUAUUUAACAUGAUUUGUUUGUAAAUUAUAGAAGUAUGUGUAGAAAGAUAUAAAAUUAAUGUUUUAAGAGAAAUUUAAGCAACUUUCAUAAUAUAUUGUAGAUUAUUAGUUGAAUUUAUGGAAAUUAAAAAUAAAUUGUAGGUCACCACACUUCCACUUUUUUUUAAUGAUAUCAAAUCACAACUUUACAAUUUUCACUAAUUUUUAACCAAUAACAAAAGAACAUCUUAGAAGAAGUGUGUUUAAGAAUUUGAUGUUAACUCUCAUUGUUUUUUAAACUUAAAUCCAGCUUUAUUCUUCAACUUUUAAUUUUUAUACAUAUUUAAUUGUAUAUAUAGUUUUUAACUCUCUAAAAUCAAACAAUUUUAAUUCAUUAAAUAGGCAAUGUCAUGAGUGUUAAACUUUUAACAUUUUUCUAGUAAUUAAAUUACUUAUGAAGAUUCAACUAAUUCAAAAUUUAAUAUUUUUACAAUUUUUAUUAUAAUAUUCUUAAAAUAUAUUUUAAUAUUUUGUUUUUCAUGUUUGAAAUAUAAAUGUUUUAAAAAAUCAUUUUAAAUUAUUUUGUUUCUCAUCUUAUGUAAUAAAUUACUAUAAUAAUUACUAAAACAUUUAAUACCUAUACAUUUUUAAUGAGCAAAAACUAAUAAUGAAUUAUAACAAAUAAAAAACGUUUCUGGGCAACAAAAUAGUAAUUAAUAUGAAUUAUAACAAAUAAUGAACGUUUUGUGGUAAUUUGUUUCACUUUCAAAUAAGUUAGUACUUCGCCUGUUAUUUCAUAACGGUAGUUUUUUUAAAUAUAUUAAGAAAAAUGUUUAUUUUUUUAUUUUUAAUGCACUUUUAAGUAACUUGCCUAUUAUAUUAUAUUAUAUGGGUAUUAUAUAUAUAUAGGUAAGCACCAAAAAAUAAAUUUAAGGUAAAAGUGAUAUAAUUAAAAUAAAAUAAAUUAUUAUUAAAUAGAAAAUAUAUAUAAUUAAAAAAAUCAGUUAUUUAAGUUUUAUUUUAAAAUAAUUUUUGUAAAAAAAUUUUCUUUUUUUCCUUGUUCACGAUUUUAAAUUUUAUAUUCACUUGGUAGACAUGUUUUGCAUGUGGUGUUUGGGACUUAAAAGAAUAAUAUAUGUUAGUUCAAGAUCCUAAUGAUGUGUUUUUAAGAAGUUGGACUAUCUUUGUUUUUUUAAGAAGUUGAAGUCUUUUUAUGAAUACUUAUCUUUUUAAACAGGUAAGAUAAACUAGUUUUAUCUGUAAAACUUAAGUUAGAAUAUCUGAAUAUGAAAUGUGAUUCUUCAUAUGAUUAUGAUUGAAUGAUUCAAAAUUCAAGUAUAAAGUUUUAAGAAUCAUUAACUUAUGUUUUUUUUUUUGUGCUAUUUUUUUGAUUUUUUGCAAUGAUUGUGUGUUGCAUGUGAGCAAAUGAUGUUACAAGUUGUAAACCUAAAAAAAAAUCAUGAAAUUUUGUCUUUUUUAUUCUUUUGAUAUUUUAUCUUAAUGAUAUAUAUAUAUAUAUAUAUAUAUAUAUAUAUAUUUAAAAAUCUCUAUAUGAAAGGAUAGUAUUUUAUGAUAUAAUAAUAUGAUAAUGUAAAUGUUAUUUAUAUAAUAAAUAUCAUGAGAUAAUUUAAAUUUUGAUAAGAUAAAUGAAGAUGUUACAAUAUCUCUUUUAAUUUUUUUUUAUUUCAUUAUAUAUUUAGGCGUAUUUAAUUUCUUUUAUUUCAUUGUAUAUUUAGGUGUAUUACGUAAAAUAUAUAAUUAAAAAGAAAAAAUAAUGUUAUUUUGAAAUUUAAAGAAUGACGUAUAGAAAGAAACAAGCUUUUGUUAAAAUUCCACCAUUGAAAAGGAACAUAGAACAACACUCUUGACAAUUAUACUUUGACUUAGAUACUUAUUUUAAUUUAUUAUAUUCAUGAGUAUUAUUUUUUCUUAAACAUAGAUAUUGGAUAAAAAUUAAUAAAAUUUAUUUAUUUCAAAUUUAAAAAUAUUUAAAAUUAAAAUAAAAUAAUAUUUUUAAUUAAGAUAUAAAAAAAUAUUCUUUACAAAUUUUUUUAAUUUCAAAAUAAUUAAUUCAGAGGAUGAUUGAAAAAAUAUUAACAAUCUAUUUAUGCGUUUAUAGUAAACCUUCAAUAAUAUUUGUACUUUCUAGCAUAUAGAAUACUUACUGGAUUUCUUACUCUUUCUUUCUACACCUCUAUCCAUACUAAAUAUAAAAAUACCAUUUUAUUCUUUUUUCUCCACCCCUUGAAUUUGAAAUAAUAAGCCCAUGGAUUAUGUAAUCUGGAUAUAUUCCGGAUUAGUCAAUUUCAUAUUUAGAAAAGACUUUCGGAUUAUGUAAUCCAGAAGCUAAUAAAACAUCUGAAAAAAAGGCUUCCGGAUUACAUAAUCCGGAAGCUAAUCUUAUGUAUAGAAAAGACUUUCGCAUUAUGUAUUCCGGAAGCUAAUCACAAAAGACUUCUGGAUUACAUAAUCCAAACGCUAAUUCUAAAUCUAGAAAAAAGACUUCCGGAUUAUGUAAUCCGGAAUAUUAAAAAAGAUAUUUUUGAAAUACGAAAAAUUUAUGGGGGUGACACAAGAAGGUAUGGAGGUGCAGGAAGAAACAGCCUGGAUUCCUUUUGUGAUUUUUCUUUUCUAAAGUACAAUUGAUAUUUUAAAUGUUUUUCUAUUUAAUUUGUCUUUCUUAAAUGACACAUAAAAUGUUCAGUGCACAAUUAACUACUCACCUUAGAUUUCGUUCUUCUUUUUCCACUUCCACACUAAAAUCAUUUUCACAUUUUUUUUACCUAUUUCACAAAAAUUUAAUUCAAAAAUGGAAAUUAAAGUUCAAGAACCCUACUUAUAUAUUAACAUUCAACAAUUUAAAAUAUUAAUAUUCAAAUUAAUCUUUCUUAAUGUUAUGAAAAAUUUAAAAUGUAGUUUAGUCAUUCUUGGAUGGAAAAAGAUGGUUUUAGAAGAAAAAAAUGCAUUUUAUUUGAAAGGUUAUCUAAACUCUAAACUCAUUGAUGAAUUAAUAAUAAUAAAUAAUAUGGAAUUCUAUUGGAAUAGCAUAUAAAUGUUUUGUUGUUGAAACUGAUAAUUGGGUGCGUUUCUGAUGAAAUUAAUUAAUGCAGUCUAGGGACAAUUAUCGCUCUAGUAUUUCAUUUUUUUAUUUUUAACGUUGAAAUUAUAAUUAUACAAUUCCGUUUUUAGAUAUUAAAAUGAUAGUUUUCAUUUACAGAUUAAAAUAUUACUUGUUUCUUUUAAGAUUUUUUUGGUAUUAUAAUUAUUUGUUAGCUGAAUUGUUUUGCGUUAACAUGUUGUUUUCUUGGGCUAUGAUGUAAGCAAUAUAAAUGUUAUUUUUAAUGUAAGCAAUAAAAAUUAUGAGUAUUCAAAGUCGUGUAAUUACUUAAAAGAAUCAAGUGAUUUUUAAAAGAACUCACACGAUCAGUUUUAAUUUUGACGAUAAAAUAUAUUAGUUAUAUAUAUUUAUUCAAAAUUUCAAUUAUACUAUGCAUUUAUGGUUUUAUGCUUUUAGAGGAAUCAGUAACUUAGAAAAGCUCCCAAAAACUAAUGAAAUCCCAUGAAUGAAGAAGGAGAACAAAUGGAAGUGAAAAAUCAGUAAGAUGAUAAUUAAUAAACACCCUCUCUUAAUAACAUAACAUAGGAGUCUUUAAACUUAUAUUCUUCAAACAAUUAUAAGCUGUCUUCAACUUUACUGUUAAACUACAAUUAUAAAGAAUUAACAAUCUCACACACCAACAACAUUUAUAAGUCAUCACUCACAUGCAACAAGGUGUGCCUCAAUGUGAAAAAACCAAGAUCAAUAAGAAAUGAGGUUCCACUUAACCAAGCUGAGAAUUGUCUGGUUUUCCAGCUCCAUGCACAAACCUAAUACAAUGAUAUGAUAUUCAAUACCAAGAGGUACCUUGUCGUAAAACUGAGAAUAUGAGGUUGCAUAGGAUGGAGAAAAGUAAGAAGAGGAUUUACCAAUUACCCUUUCAAAUGCAGCUCCUCAAGAUUUCAUAAUCCCUUCACUGCAAAUGCAACCCAAAUAUGUUAAAGAAGUUAAUGAAACCGAAAUAUGAAGAGUUUCAAAAUAAAAAUUUAACAUGUUGAAACUUGUAAUUUAGAAGUAUUGACUAUAAGGCAGUUUAGAUCCUGACCAAUGAAAGACUAAUAAGCAGAAGAGGAAGAGACUAGUUGACUGGCUAGCUUUCGGCCUUCCACUUCCUAUCUUCCCUUGUUUCUCUUGAAGACUGUGCAACAUUGCUUCCACUGGAUUCUUCAAUCUCAACAGCACCACCAUAUUCAUCAUCUUUCUUUUUCGUAUAAAGAGGGCAUAUGCCGCAUUCUUUUAUUGUGAUAACUGAUUUCAACUCUCUCACAACUGAUUCGUAAUCUGGCCACCCAAAGUCAUAAUCACACGGACUGAUCUCAAAAGUGAAGCUGCGAGCAUCACAUAGCCUGAGGCUCAUGCCGCUCGCCCUUAGGGACUCCAAGUUAAAUUUCCACACGAAUGUGUGAUCUUUAUCAACACAUCUCUCUUCACCAUUCCAUUUGAAAUAGCUGUUUAACACAUCAUUAUUUGGAAUGAUCUGUGUGCCAUCAUCAUCAGAUUCAAAUGUUAGGCUGUAACUAAAAGAACCAUAUCUACCAUUCAUAGCAUACGUAUCUAACACUCCAAAAACCACACUCAAAGCGAAACCAGUGAGCCUAUCAUCGCUGCAGAAACUUAAAUCUUCAUUUAUAGUCACUGAAUGUCCCUUCCCACGAAAAUUGAACCAACCAGGAACUGCACUCCCUGGAAAACAGAAGAACACACACCUAUAUGCAUCGUCGGUCAUCCUAAGCCUUGCAUCCUCCUCAAUGUUAGCACGACCACCUGAAUCCAGUUGUUGAGCAUUGGUGAAAUGAAAUUUAAAUACACCCUCUUCGGAAUUUGAGAGGUUUCGAACAAGAGAAUUUGGCAUCACUCUUCUAAUGGAUGGGCAAUCCAAUGCCACGAGUUGUUUCAGAAAUGGUGGAAUCUGUGGGAUGCAUUCAAGCUUUUUGCAGUCGCUUAAAUCAAGCGAUUUCAAACUUGAAAGAUGAGCAAUGCUCCCAGGAAGGUUCACGAUUCCGCUAUUACGCAGUGAAAGUUUCAUUAAUGACGUCAAACGACCAAUGUGUCUAGGGAUUUCUGUUAAUUUGGGGCACCCCGAACAAUCAAGUUUAGAGAGAAGCUUCAGAUUAACAAUGCAGUUUGGAAGUGAGUCGAGAUCAGUGCAUUUGUGGAGCUCCAGGGAUCGAAGAUUAACCAAAUUGCCAAAUGAGGAAGGCAAUUCUUUAACAGCCGUAGAUGUUAAGUUAAUGUGAGCAAAAGUAUGAGCCGGCUCCGUGAUCUCUGGGAAGGACCUCAGCCUUGAGCAACCACCUAAAUCAAACUUCCUCAAUUUCAAAUUGAAAAUGGUGCUUGGAAAAGUUUGAAGUGAAUUACAGUGGGUAAGGUCUAACUUGCAUAGUCUGGUGAGGGUUCCAAUGGAAGAUGGAAUAAUCUGAAGAUUGAAGCAACUGCGCAAACUCAGUUGUUGAAGCCCUACCAAACGGCACAAGGAUGAAGGUAGUGCCUGUAUGGCUGUGUCGUCUAAGAUGAGCACCGCUAGAUCUUCCAACGUGUCCUGAAUCUGGGGUAAAUAUUCCAAUUUUGAGCAACCACGGAGAGAAAGUUGCUUUAGGAAUUUCAUAUCAGAAAGGUCAAACGGAAAGAUUGUAAGGGAAGAACAGUCAGAGAGAUCUAAGUAACAGAGGUUCUUGAGACUUUGAAAGUUCAAGGGCACACCUCCUCUGAGAUUUGCCGACACUUCAAAUUGUAAGUAUAGAGUAUUAUUAGCCACUUCUUCAU
rnacentral:lncRNA from 1 species